rnacentral:lncRNA from 1 species
GCUUUGAUAUUUGGAGCUCAUAGUGUGAUGAAUUAUAACCAUGGAUCCAGAGAAACAAGUCAAUAAGUCAAAUCAAGAUGUGCAUGUGUGGCGAAUGAAUGGUGUAUGGUGAUAACAAUAGUGAAAAUCUAAUUCUACUUUUGCUCUUUUGAGGGGAUGCAUACCUUUCUUGCUCUUUUGAAACUUUUUGAGGAGAAUGAGAUGCUCUACAUUUUCUUUUUCUUUCCUCUCAGGUGGGUAUCUUGUACCCCUAAUUCUACUGUCGGACACUUGUCCAUUUUUACCUCUCGUCUUACUUUUUCUUUUCUUUCGAGGUUCCGGGCACUUGCCCCUUUUUAUUUCCUCGUAUCUCUUCUUCUCUUUUUUUUAGAGCACUCAUCUUCUGAAAUAAUAUAGCAAGUGGUAGUAACCAAGAUAACUCGAGCAUUUAUUUCACAGGAAAAGCAGAAAUAAGAGAAUGUUUUUGGCUAUUCUCUCCUAGAUUAGGAGUAGAAUAUUUUUGGGUGGUUCUGGAGAUGGAAAUGAGUGGAUAUAUGUGGAUGCGUACUUCCGAAGUAGAAGCAGCAUGUGUGAGUGAACGUGCAAGUGAAUCUUGAUUUAACCAAAUGACAAGCUCCUCCUAAGGGUCUACACAGCUUGACUAAAAAGUAAAUGUGUGGCUCAAAGUCUUAGCAAGCAUGUAUAUAUGGCUAUGGUAGGAAUUUAAACUCUCAUCAUACAGAAACUCAUCAUGUGUUAUUUUAAAAAUUUUCAAAGAUAAAAUUCUCCAGAUUUCUAGCAUCUCUAAGAACAGAUAAAUAGCAGCUCAACCUUCCCAUAUCAUAUCCGUUAACAACUUAGACUUCAGAUCAAGUUCUCUUCCCACAAGUUCAGAUUUAGAGCGAGCUUUAAAUUAUAACAGUUAUGUCUAAACUAGAGAGAGAACUCAAAUUUGAAAAUUAGGCAGAGCAACUAUUCAUCAUAUCCAUGCUAGAGUUUUAUUAUUAAGAUUCAGUUUAGCAUAGCCACUUUAUUUAUUUAUUAAGCACACUAAGCAAAAGAUAUAUAAGCACAAAAUCUUUAUUUGGUUUUUCAUGGUUAUGUAUAUUUUUAUUUUAAUAUGGUAUAAGUAUAUAGAUAGAUAGAAAUACUUAGCGGAGUAAAUGGGGGUGCUCUCCCCCAAGCUGAAUUUUGACGUUAUUUCUUCUGAUGUAGCUAGCAGGUGGCAGAGGUGUAUUUGAAAGUCGGCAGCACCCUGACAGCGAUUAUAAUGUCCUCCGUCAGCUAGUCUUCUUGAUCCUUGAAUUCUGUGGAGCUUAAAUAGACAACAAAGCUUUGUGGAACUGAUUAAGUGUUAGCAUAAAUAUCUAGCCUUUAUCAUGUUGAGCCUCCUCAAUAAAUAUUACUUUCUAUUUUUAUAUUUUCAUUUUAUAGAGCAGAAAAAAUAUUUAUUUUAUUUUUAUGCCACCACAGUGAAUAUACUUAUGGGUUUUAUGCCACUCGUAUACUCACAUGAGGCUUACUAUUUUUAACAUUUUUAUUUUCUUUUUAGGAUAGUAUGAACAUGAUUAACUAAGUAAACUAUUUUAAAUAAUUGAAAGGAAAAGGAUAACUACCAAGUUUACCUCUUGGCAAGGCGUUCGGUGUUUUUAAGUCCUCCGAAUGGGACUCUCCGUUUUCUCAGUCGUCCUGGGAUUCGCUGGAUGGCGUAGUCGGUGCUACCGGUGGCGCCUCCUCUUCGUGUAUAGUUAUCUUCUCUUUCCAUACCUGACUCGGUGCUACGGUCUCCACUGGAUAAUUCUGUUCAAGCUAUAUGUCUUCAAACCUUACUACUUCUCCUUCAUAGUCUGCCCAUCCGUCCUUGAUGAUUUGCCUCCUCUAGUUGCGGUUGUGUCGUCUUCUUCUUGUCCUGACCUGCUUAGAGUCUUCAACUAUAUAGUUAGGGUCAGUAAAAUAGCGGCAUACCUUCUCUGAGGGGUAGUGCAUGUGGACUUCUCCGGUUCCAAUAUAGAUGAUUGCUUCAACGAUGCUGAGAAACGGUCUCCCAAGGAUGAUGGGUGGAUCGUACUUAUCUUCUCCCAUAUCAAUAACCUGAAAGUCUGUAUGGACAAAAUGAUCGUCUAUUUUGACAGGGACAUCAGUUACUAUACCUUCAACCUUUCGGAAUGUCUGAUCUGCCAUCUGGAGCUGAAUGUAUGUCGUUUUUAGGGGCAUGGUUCCGAACAAGAGCCGAUAGGUGACUGCGGCCAUUAUGUUGACGCCCGACCCGGUGUCGCAAACUGUCUUGUAGAAGUUGUACCCAUUGAUGGAGAAGUGGAUGCUUGGCAUACCUGGGUCGUCCUUCUUGGUCAGAAACGGUGACUUGAGUCGAUGAUCUUGACCUUCUUGAACUGCAGUGACCAUCUUAGCUGACUCGGUCCACACUUGCUUGUUCCUGUUCCUCCUGUUGGUCCUCUUCCUUGGUUCAUGUCGGGAUUGCUCUAGGAUUUGUGUAGUCUUGUUCUUGAAGGAAAACUUCUUCUUUCUCCUCUUGAUGUAGAAACUGAUCUUGGCAGCACUGGCGUAGAUGACAGCUCCUGAGGUGUUCAGGAAUGGCCUCCCUAAGAUGACGGGUGCCCUCUCAUCAUUUCUGGUCUCUAUCACCACGAAGUCUGCUGGGGCGUACAAGGUACCAACUCGGACGCAGAGGUUCUUCAAUAUUCCCUUUGGGAAACUUAACGCCUGAUCUGCAAGCUACAAACACAUGGUUGUUUCUCAUAAAGGAUAUGUAAAGAAUUUUUCAUAGAGUACCCUGGGCAUAAUGUUGACGCUAGAGCCAAAGUCACAGAGUGCUUCUGGGAAGUCCACCAUGCCGAUGGAGAUCGGGAUGAUGGGGCGUCCUGGAUCGCCUCUCUUGACCGGCAGAAGGUUAGUAGUAACUUCUCUGAUGAGGUUACUCCAGUAGUUACCUGUAUCAAACAUGUCUACAAGAUUUGUAGAUUCUAAUCCUUCCGAUUGUGAUGGUAUACUGGGGUUAGUAGCAGGAACAGCAGCAGCUAUUUGAUUUAACGGAGAUUCGAUCAUUUUAUUAAAGCUAAUUUGAUUCUUGAUGGCAGUAGAGAAAUUAUCCAUUCUAUUAUUUAUAUUUUCUAGCAUUUUAUCAUUUGAUGCCAAUUUCUUAGAUAGGUUAUCCAUUAGCUUUCUUUGAUUAGACACUAACUCUCUCAGAGGUGAAAAAUUAUUAUUAUUAUUGAAAGAAUUGUUACCUUUAUAAUUACCUGAGUAGUUAGGCCUCUAUUGAUUCCAACCUUGAUUUUGUUGAGGACGGUUGUAGUAGUUGUUGUUGUUGAUGUAGUUCACAUCCUCAAGCAUCUCAGGGCAGUGAUUGCCUGAGUGUCCAGUAUCUCCACACUCCUCACAAGUCAUGUGAGAGUCGUAGACGUGCAUAACUUCUUUCUUAUCUCUAGCUCUAUCAUCGAGCUUCUUCAUGAGCAGGUCUAGCUUGGUAGACAGCAUGUCUACCUCCUUGAGCUGAUGCAUACCUCCACCUCUCUUGCGUGUCUGGGUCCUUUCUUCAUUCCAGCCUUGGUUGGAUGCCGUCUUCUCCACAAGAGUUGUGGCUUCUGAAAUGGUGAGUGAUAGGAAUGCUCCUCCAGCUGCAGCAUCCAUGGUCUCACGAGCACUAUUGCCGAGCCCAUGAUAAAACGUGUGCAUCAGUAGGCAGCUCUCCAUUCCAUGAUGGGGACAUUCUAGGAUGUAGUCUUAGAAGCGCUCCCAUGCUUCUGGAACGGAUUCAUCAUGUUGUUGCUGAAAACUUGUAAUUUUCCCACGGAGAGCAUUGGUCUUGCCCAUGGUAAAGAACUUAGCCAGAAAGUUCAUGGAGCAGAGUGCCCUCGUAGUAUUCUUCUCCUUUGUAGCGUAGAACCACUGCUUCGCUCUCCCCAACAGUGAGAAUGGGAAGAGGCGAAGUUGUAUAGCAUCUCUGGGGACUCCUGAUAUGGUGAAUGUGCUGCAAAUCUCUAGGAAGUGUUGGAGAUGAGCACUAGCAUCUUCGUGUGCCUUUCCACAGAACUGGUUGGAUCGCACCAUGUUGAUAAGUCCAGGUUUGAGCUCAAAGUUGCCGUCGAUCUCUGCAGCAGGUCCAGUAGGGAUGUUGUCCAUAGAGGGAGCUGAGAACUCACGGAACAAUUUGUUCGCCAUGACUUCGAACUCUGAAGAUAAGUUCCGGGUGAAACUUCAGUGAUCUUCUUGAUUGGAUGAAGCUUCGUGCUGAAGUGUUGAUGAUCUCUUCUUGAGCUUGGCUCUUGUUUUUCUGAAUAACACUUCGGGAUUGUCAACAAAAUUUCCUAGAAGAUGUCUUCUAUUCAUACAUUACCCUACAUAAAAUAAAAUAGAAAAAUAUUGGGGUAAAACUGUAUAAGAGAAUUGAUAAUCUCAAUCAUAUUAGUGAUGCGAAUGAUGACUCAGAAUUCCAUAUUCAUUCCUGAUUAGUAAUCAACCUUCCCCGGUAACGGCGCCAAAAAUGCUUGUUGGGCAUUCUUAACGUCACUACCAAAAGUAGACUUAGUUUUCUAAUUCUGAGCGCCAAAAAUGCCAAACCUAUCCCUCAUGCUACUUAAGCCAAGUUGUCAUCCCCAGCAUGACAUGAGAGACGCAGUAUUGAAAUAUGCAAUUGCUCUUCUAAAUAAAUAAUAACUGAGAUCUGCAAGCGCACAGAUUAAUACCGAUGUAGCAUUUUAACCAGAAAGUAUUCCAGAUAUCGUUAUUUAUAUUUUUACACUAGGAAGGGAUUGCUAAACAUCAAUGUUGAUUAUGGAAUGGAAUAUAUAAUUGAGUAUCUAUCAUCGCAUGUAUAAUUGAGAGCAUUUAUCUAUCUCUUUCAUAUAGGGAUAAGUGUCACAUAAAAGAUAGAUAAAGUAUGAAUGGUGACAAAGAUAAUUAAUCUGAUCAGCAUAACUUAGCCACAUAUAAUAAUGAUAAGCACCACAAUAGAUAUUCUAGCAAGUCAUUAGCAUGGAAUUAGGACGAACUACAAGAAUAUUUCCUAAGUUAUUCUUAACAAUAAAGUCUAGUAUAUCAUAGUUAGUGCAAUUAUACUUGGCAAUCAUUGCGAGACAGGACUACGCCCAUGCAUAGUGAUAUAAUCAAGGAAUGUGGGAAACAUAGCAAUUACUCCCUUGUAAUAAUGUUGCUCUGCCAGCCCUAUACACGAGAGGGGGACUAUAUAAGAAUCAAUGGAGCUGUCACUACCACGAACUACCCCGCGAUCUGGCAUAUAGGGUACAAUCGCAGAUAAAUACGGUAUAGGCACCACGCCUACACAAUACUUAUCAUUUACCCACUGUAUGCAUGGAUAAACGCUAUACGAUCCUAAACAUGUAUAUAAUCCAGUCUAACUAAGCCAAGCAUAUAACUAUGAUAAACUAAGAACAAUAUAAUUGCAAAUAUAAACAAGUAGAGCAAAUUCAUAAUCAAUAUAUUGAAGUAGAACAAAGUCAUAUUCAUAAUAUUGAAGAACAAAGAUGAACAAUUAAAGAACAAUAGAGGAAUUACCAAGAAUUCUCUUGACAGAUCCGGAAACUAAUCGAAGAUUGACUCCUUCUAGUUCUAAUCCUAUGUAGCUAUGCUAAACUAGAGAUCUAAUUGAUGUGGUGGCUCUAGGGCUUGAUCAGAGGCUUCUUCUCCCAAGAUGAAUAAUGAAUUAGGGUUUCUGAGGGAUAGAGGUCCUCUCCUCCAGGGGCCAGGGGGUCUGCUUAUAUAGUCCUUCCAAGUGAAUAUGGGUCGUCGGAUCAAACCAACAUUAAUCGCACGGUUUUCCUUGAUCCUUUAGGUCGGUGGAGCAUGAUCCGCGAGAUUGGUUGUGAUUGGCCCCGAGGCCAGGGCGGGCGCCCUGCCCCCGAGCCCGUCCGGUCUCCCGUUCGUUCCCGUGGCUUCUGGACUCUUCUAGAUGUAGGAUAAUUGCGCGGCACGUUAAUAUCUCUAUGUAAACCCGACAUGUGGGCCUUUCCUCUGUAUUUCUUGAUAACCCCCUGCAGAAAUAGACAAACACCAAAACUCGUGGAAUUCUGUCAAAUAAAACCCUAAGUCGUGGUGUGGAUUGCAUUUGGAUCCUUUUCUUUGUUUAUUUGAUGAUUAAAUUUGAUACUUAAGGACCGUCAACACUAGGUUGAAAAACUUUUAUCCGGUAGCUCUCUAGAACACACUUAGGCACACGGGUUGAAUUGAGGCUUAUAGGUUGCUUAAAUUUUUGGAGAAGCCUAGUUCACCCCCCUCUUGGGCAUCUUGGUCCUUUCAAUGAGGAAUUGAAGGCAACUCAACCCGCACAGGUUUGUCGUCUCACGUUCCCUCCCUCCCCUUCAUCCCGCUUGGAUCCCCUAUCAUCUCCAGUGAUUCUCGGUGAGAUUUCAUGGAUUGAACAUAGUGUUUUGUGCGCAGAGAAGGGGCUCAGUGAGGAAUCAAAGGUAGCUGUCCUAGUUCUUCUCUGUUAAAUUGCAGGUGUGUGUUAUCUGCAUGGUGUUUUUUCUACCAAUUUUUUGCUUUUUUAAGAUUGUGAGGGGAGUUCAGGUCGUCCUGACCUAGGAUUUUUUUUGUUGACAUGUGUAGGUUAUUUACCACCUUGCUACAGCAAGCCCCUUUUGUUUUCUGAGCUGAGCAUGAGGUGGUGUGUGAUGCGGAUCUGGCCCAACAGAUCAAGGUGAUUAGUUACUGAACUGCAUUGGGAAUAAGCAACUAAACAUACUCUGCCCAGGCAAUAUUGUGGCAAAGUAAAGGCAAAAUAAUUUAAAUCACUAGGUAGUUUCUUUACAUCAUUGUUCUAUAAUUCAAGGUCAUUAGUACUGAGCAACAUGUUGUUCAAUCCUUGCACUUUAGGACUCCAAAUGAGCCAAAGUACUUUUUGAAGUGUGUUGUCAGACAUGGCUGAUGAUUGAGCAUAACCAACCUGAAAUCCUGUCUACAUCAGACUUUUUUUAAAAAAAAUUGUGAUGUGAAUUACACAAUGUGAAUUGACAUAAGCUAGAUUGCAGUGAAGGGAUGUUGUAGUGAUAAAAGAAGAGCAUACUAUAAGGAGGCGGUGGUAAAGGCCUCCUUAUAUAUAUGAUAUAUAAAGCCUGAAGCAACCUAGAAUUUUUUGCAGUUAGGAUAUGACCAUGGCUAAUCAUGUUGGCAGCUAGAGUGACCAUGGUUAAUUAAGACAUUAUUAUUUUUGACCGACCAGGUGGUAUGGUGGCAGCUAUAUAGGAUAUGUACCUUUUUUCACCAAUUUUUGAUGUCUAUUGAAUACUAAGGAGGCAGCGGUAAAUUAAGUGGACCACUGUACACUAAUUUGACUUGCAGGUCCAAAAUUUUAUCACGAAUUGAUCUUCGGUCAUCUGAACAUAAUUAGUAAUGAGGGAAGAAGCAAAAUAAGAAGCCCCUCAUUCAUUCGUUCAACCUAUUCUUUUUACAGUAGAAAUCUUGACUGUACUGUAUAAGUACGUAACUGUCGGUUGGUGAAUCCAUUGAUUUAAAUCGACGAUCAAGUAAAAGGAAACGAAGUACAGUUUUCAGUUCAGCGGGUUCUUACUGCAUGCAUGCCUGUCUUACUGCAUGCAUGCCUGACUGUAACUGUUGGUUGGUGAAAACAAAAACAAACAAGCUGAUAUUACCCAUUAAGAGCAUCUCCAAGGGCCUCUCCAAAUCAGUUUUGCAUUUGAGGUUAUUUGCAAAGUCUCAAAAGAAAAUGCAAAGCCUAAAAAGAUGCCUAUUCCAAGGGCCUUUGCAAAAUUGACUUGGCAUUCUCAAUUUGGACCCGGCAGCGUUUUUUUAUUUUUGGCGCGGUGCUUGGCGUUUCGUGCAUCCUCGCCGCCGUCGUGUUUGUCGCGGAAAAAACAAACAGGGCGCCGCGAAGUUCCAGGUUGAGUUCGCCGCCGGUUGUUGCCGUCCCGUCUCCCGUGGUCGUCGUCGAGAUCGUCCCGGUUCCAGUUCGUCCCAGUUGCAGUUCCAGUUCGUCCCGAAGUUCAUCAAGACAUCGCGAAGUUCCAGUUCGUCCCAGGUCGCUGCUGCCUUCGACGGCUUCUAGAUCGAAGUUGCUGCUGGUGACGAUGCCGCCGCCGACUCCAUCAAACAGGCUUACACUGCGGCUCGCCAAGGUUUGUUGUGCGUGAAUUCUUGUGUCCGUCCAUUAAUUUUUUGUAUUUUGUUCAAUGUUGUGAGGCGUGUAAUUGUUCUCAGCUGCGGCGGAAGAGGGCUUCCAGAUCACGUCUCCGGAGACAAUUGGAUGACGAGUCUUCAGAAGACGAUGAUUUUUUUAUGUGCGCAGCUGCUCGGAUUUUGCACAAAUAUUCUAGUAAAAAACAAAGACAUGUUGGUUCGGUCCCUGGGCAUGCUGUCAUUCAUCGCGAUAGAGAAGGCGGCCACCAGAGGAUGUAUCUGGAUUAUUUGGUGGAUAAUCCUACCUAUGGUCCAGAUUUAUUCCGUCGUAGGUUGUUGUUCUUUCACAUUAGAUAAUUUCAUAUUAUUUGAAUUUUUUUGUCAAUGUGUUGAACUAUUAUUUGUUGUUUUCAGAUUCAGAAUGAGGAAGCCCCUUUUCCUACGCAUCAUGAGAGUUGUUGAAGAACACGAUCAUUACUUUGUGCAAAAAAGGGAUGCGGCAGGUAAAAAGGGUCGAAUGCUCACAUAUGGGGUUUCUGCUGAUGCCACGUAUGAGUAUAUUCGCAUUGGCGAAAGCACCGCUCUCGAGAGCCUACAUAAGUUUGUUACUGCAAUUGUAUAAAUUUUUGAGGCAGAAUAUCUGAGACACCCCACUGAGGCUGACAUAGCACACUUGCUAGCGGUCAAUGAGAAAAGAGGCACUGGUACAGGACAGGCCUUUUGUCCCGGUCGAAAACAACUUGUAGUCCCGGGUGGCGAGCCGGGACUAAGGGAUCGGGACUAAAAGUCCCACCUUUAGUCCCGGCUCUCCAACCCGGGACUAAAUGGGGACAUUUAGUCCCGGUUGGUAAUACCAACCGAGACUACAAGGGGCACCAGGCAGUGACGUGGCGCCACCCCUGGCCACCCCUUUUAGUCCCGGUUGGUAUUAUCAACCGGACUAAAGGUUUUUUUUUUGUUUUUCUUUUUCAUUUCUUUAUUGAUUUUGGUUUUCAAUUGUAUAUGUUCUCCAAUUUAAUCGUAUACGCCGCAAUUAUCCGUAUACGUUGCACCUAUACGAGAGCGUCAUUAUUGCACACAAAUAAAGUAUGAAACUACAUAUAUAUAUUAUCCGUAUAAUAUAUAUAUCUAUAUAUAUUAUAUAGCUAUACACAUAUGUACAUACACAUUACAUUUACAAUAAUAAUAUUAUGUACAAGUAAUAAUCAAGUGUGCUGCCACCGGUUAAUGAUUACAUAAUGUUUGCCUGCCCACUCAAAGCUCAUACAAGUGUUCGUCCUUGUUUGGAAUGGGCUUGAAGCCCUGCGGGUAUAAGUGGAACUCGCCGUCUUCCGGAAUGACAUGAUCGUUGAUAAAUCCGGCGAUCGUCUCCUAGACUCCAAGGAGUAAUGUGUACUCGAACACUUUAUCUUUCAUAUUCCACUCCUUCCAUUUGCAUUAGUUAAAAAAGAUAUUAAUAUACAUAAAAUCUAUUUAGUUUCAACAAAUAAAUAAGAUACGAAUUUACUGUAUACACAUGCAUGUUACUUACUUUUAGAACACUUUGAGCAGGUUUAAAUAGGGUGCACCGCAUAAAUUCACAAACAUAGUAUCCACAUAGAUUCGUUCCAAACGGUUGCAUGGGCACCCAAGGGAGUAGAACAGGAGGAGGAAGUGACACAUUCAGAUCCGUACGAUAUUUUUGUUGUAGCCAAGCCCAAGCCCUGCCCAAUAAGACGCUUGUUGAUUAGGUAUAGCUAGCAUAAUAAAGUAAAGGAGCACGCAUCGAUAUUUAAAGUAUGAUAUAUACUUACCUCUGGAUCAUGUCUAUUAUGUCUUGAUAGAGUGCCAGGUCUUUUUUCAUUGAGUCCCACACAUGUAUUCUUUGUUCCGUGAUCUUAAUCUCAAUGAGUAUCCAAUGAUCUCUGCAGUUGUUUAGAGUCAACUUAUAUAUGUAUAUCUUAAUGCCGGAUUAACUAAGACAUGAUAUAACACAACACUUACCCCAUAUUGUAAGGGAAGAGUAUCUUCUCUGUAUGCCUUUGGUUAUAAAAGAACCUCCGGAGGUUCUUCUCCAUUUUCUUAAGCUUCAGAUUCAAUGGAUCUUUAGUUUUAGUGUCCUUGUACACGACAUAUGGAUCGAUGAAACCAAUUCGAUUGUAUUUUUUCAAUCUUUAUUCUCUCAUCAUGUGUCUGCAUAUCGUGAGCGUAGUUAUUACGAAUACAUACAUAUGCUAUAAUGGGAUUAAUGAUUGAAAGGAAGAAUCACUUACAGACAGCAGCAGCUCAUGAGGGAUUUGUCGAGAGCAUUCAUAUGGAGAAGUUGGUGUACUUCACUAAAAUCUAUCCAUAUAACGUCAUCUCCACGGAAGUAGUGUCGGUCGCGGACUCGGACGGCAAUCAAUUCUUCUUCUAUAUGUUUUGAGCUGACUCUCAAGUAGUACUCGUGCAGCUUGUAUAUUUGUGUACCAAGCCCUCGUACCUUCUCAGGGUGGCACAUACUCCUGCCGUAAAUGUACCGACUCUGAUAGUCAUCGACACCUCCGUGGAUUGGCGCAUCGGUACGCCCUAGAAGUGCUUCUAGGGGCAGCCCAAUUUCUUCCAUCCAAUUCCCGAGCUCAUCUAAGUCCACAUUAGCAGGUAUAGUCAUUGCCAGCAAGUUGGCGUUUGAACCGUACUCAUUCGCAACCACUAGUGGCUGAACUGAUUGUUGCGCUUGUUCGCCGAGCUGUGCAACUUUUUGCUAGACUUUUCUUUUGUCUACCUUGAUUUUCUUUAGGACAGCACGGUCGUAGUCUGAUAUUGUUGACCCUGGUUGUUUACUCGCAGCACGGUUCGCGUGUGUCAUUUUCUGCACCACUUGAUGUAGCUUUGAGCGAGGAUACAUUAGGUAUGGCGGCUCUUUCUCUGCUUUUCUAUUAGCUUUGUAUUUUUCAAAGAAUGCUUUGACUUCCGCUUUGCUUGUAGCAAGCACUUCCUCAUCGGUCUUCUCAUAUGAAAGCUUGGUCGUCUUCGGGAUCUUCGUGUUCAAAGCUUUCCUCUUUGCCGCAGGUGGUUGGAGUGAUCUCUGUGUCUCGGCGGACGACCUCUUCCUCCUCGAUGCAGCACCAGCCGGUGCCGAUGAGGCGGCGGCCGUUGUCGUCGGCAUUGGCGGAGGCAGCGGCGCAGGUAGAGCUUGCUGUUGUGGAGGAGAUUCGACCGCGGGCGGCGUUGGAUUCCUUCGUGGAGGAGAUGCGGCGGCCGGUGGUGGGGAUGCGGCCUUCUCUUGUACGUCGUCGUCGUCGUGUCCCACGGCACUGGGGUCAUGCGGUGAAUGGACAGACAGACUUCGGUGGGGGCAGGCCCUGGAUUUGAAGAAAAACAAAUAAGGUAUAUGUAUACAUGACUAAAUGUAAUUUGAUACAGUAUAUAAUUAUAGAAAAAGCAGUAGCGUCCACAAUAAUUCGCACCUGCUAGGGUUUGGUUGUGGCGGCGGCACCCUAGGAAUAAUGAUGUACCGUUUCCUUCAAUAUAUGAAUGUCUUCUCCGCUUCACCAAGUGUCUUCUCUCCAUCACCGCCUUCGAUAUCGAGAGGCACAUUUUCACGGCCUCUGACCACUUUAUCCACCGAGACACAAGCAUAUCCGGCUGGUAUUGGGACAGAGUGGAUCGUUGGUGUCUUGGUGGGGUCGAUAGGAGAUACGACACCGGUAGCCACCUUUACUGUGCCAUCGCCCUCCGGAAUAUGGAGCUCACAAGACGUCAACGGAGUGGUGACGUCAUCCACCGGGAAUCGCAGCCCUACGUCAUCAACUUGCCUCGCAGGCGCCUCCGUAGAAGCACAACUGCUCUUUAGAUGAGCUGAGCAAGGGCUGAUGUUGGCGGCCGAUGGCUGUGAUAAGCUUUGGAGGUGGGAAGUUACAGCUUCCUCCAUGGCCUUUUGGAUUUUCUCAUCCAUUGUGGCCUUCAGCGCUUGCUCCCGCUCAAGGGCCCGUUGAGCCACUUCUUGGGUCUUUAUGAGUCCUUCCUCCAAUAUGCGUAUCCGUUCCUUGUCCUCUUCCUUCUUUCUCUGGCGGCUUCUAUAAGUUUCCCUAUCAGCAGGGAAGGCAUGUUCCCACGACACGGUGCCAUAGCCUCUUGUCCGUCCACCGUGCUCAGGGUUCCCCAGGGCGAAUGUCAACUCAUCUUUAUCUCUAUUCGGCUGCCAUUCUCCACUUUCAGCGAUGGAGCGGGCUUGAUGGAAUCUUUCCGCAACAGCUUGGAUGCGUUCCUCAUACACGACCUUUCCGGUCUCAAGGUCCAGUGAGCCUCCGUGAGCGAAAAACCAGUGCUUCGCAUGCUCAGGCCACUCGAGGGAUUCGGGCACCAACCCCCUGUCGAUUAACUCUUUUUCGGCCUUUUCCCACUUAGGAACUGCGGUUUGGUAGCCACCUAAUCCCAUCGUGUGGUGGUAGGUCUUGCGUCGGGCAUUCUCUUGGUUCUUUCUAACCCGUUCCUGAGCCACUUCGAACAUCUUGAACCGUACAAAGUCGUCCCAAAACGGCCGUAGCUUCGCAUAGUUCGGAGAGUUGAAAUCUAGAGUCAUGUUUUUCUUGAUGUAGUCUUGAUAUAGACGCUUCUUAUAGCCCUGGAACAUUGGUGCCAUCUUCUUCAUAGACCAAUCUCGGACUCUUUCCUUCAACUGUUCAUCGUUUGUCUCCAGUGUAAAAUGUUGCAAGACAUCACCCCAGAGUAGCUCCUUGUCACGUAUAGAGACAUAACUGAUUUCUAGAUGUUUCUUGUUCUCCUUCCAUUCACGGACACUGCUGGGAUCCUAUCCCAGACAAGGUACCCUAAGUGGUUCACGAAGGCCCUUGAAUGGGGUCCAAGUGGCUUGCCUCUUGCUUCCUCGAAUUCUGAGAUUACUAACCGGCCCUCCAUAGGCUUCUUUGGGCCUCGUACUCUCCGGCUGGUCCCCGUGGUUGUCGUCGAGCCAGAGGGCUAUGUAGAAAGAAAAAAGACAAUUUAAUACAAGAUAUUAUUUCGAAUUAUAUCUGUAAAAACAAAGGAGACUGCCAUAUUACAGACCUGCUGGCCAGCAUUGUCUUGCUCAUUCGGGUCGACCAAAUACUGAGAGCAGUCAUCGAUUCCCUCAGGGUUCUCAUCGCCUUCGCGAUCAUCGUGAUAAACUUCUUCAGUGGGACCGCAGAUCAGGUUUAUCAUUUCCUCUUCAUGUUCUCUCGGAUCGGCCAUUUCUGCACAAAUAUGUGACACAUCACUACUAGCACUACUGUGUAUACUUGACAAGGAAACAAUAUAUAAAACUAGGGUUUAGGGUUUAGGGCUUAGGGCUUAGGGCUUAGAACAUCACUAAAUACAUCACAGAACACUAUAUGUAUACUAUGUGAACAUCGCUAAAAUAUGUUAUAGAACAUCAAAUAUAUAUUACGUGAAAAAAACUAAAUACACCAUAGAACAUCACUAAUUACAUUAAAGAACAUCGUAUAUAUAUUACAUGAAAAUAAAUAAGAAAUUGGUACUAUAAUAUACAUGAAAAUAAAUAAAUAUAUAUAAAUUUGAGCAGAGGCAAUAUUCUAGAUUUAUAAGAAAUUGGUGACACAUGACUACUAGCACUAUUGUGUAUACCUGACAAGGAAACAAUAUAUAAAACUAGGGUUUACAACUUUGGGUUUUCCGCAACAGUUUACGGCUAAGGGUUUGGGGUUUACGGCUUAGGUUUCAAGGUUUAGGUUUUAUGGCUUAGGGUUUACAUCAUUUGCUAAAAAAAGUGGCAUGAUCUGAACCGGUCACAAAUAUGUGUGAGAGAGAGAGUAUAUGUGUUUAGGGCUUAGGGUUUAGGGUUUAGGGUUUAGGGGUUAGGGUUCAGGGGUUAGGGUUUAGGGUUUAGGGGUCAGGGGUUAUGGUUCAGGGUUUAGGGCUUAGGGCUUAGGUUUAGGGUUUAGUGUAUAUCAUUUGCUAAUAAUUAAAUAUAUCAUAAUUGUACCACUAAUUUAAACUACUAAUUGUACCACUAAUUAUAGCACUAAUAAUUGUACCACUAAUAGAUCCAUCUCGACAUACCUGUAGUUUGAAGGCGGUAAGACGGCGGAGAGACGGCGGUCGGUGCGGAGACUUGACGGGGACUUCGGUGACGACGGCAGAUAUACGUCGAUCUGGAAGAAGGAAGAAAUAGGGAACAAAUAUUAUAUCACAUUUACAUAUUGUGUCACAUGCAUGAAGCACUAAAUAUAGACAAAAAACAAAAACUAAUAGCAUAGUAUGUCUGUAAUUUACAAGAUAAAUCUUUUAAGCUUAGUUAGUUUAUAAUUGGACAAUAUUUGCUACAAACAAACUAAAAUGCUACGGUACCAAAAUGCUAUAGUGUGAAAUACAAAAUUUUUUGGAACUAAACAACGCCUGCACAUUUUUUUAAGGCAAAUUUUUUUGAAAAGACAAUAUUUUUUUAGGCCUAGGGCCUUGUUUACUUCCAAAAAAUUUUGCAAAGUAGGAAUAGUAGCAUUUUCGUUUGUAUUUGACAAAUAUUGUCCAAUUAUGGACUAACUAGGCUCAAAAGAUUCAUCUCGUCAAUUUCGACCAAACUGUGCAAUUAGUUUUUAUUUUUAUCUAUAUUUAAUACUCCAUGCAUACGUCUAAAGGUUCGAUGUGACGGGGAAUCUGAAAAAUUUUGCAAAAUUUUUGAGAAACUAAACAAGGCCCUAAACAAGGCCUGCUGCAGGCACGCGCGGGGGGCCGGGCUCGGCCGCCGGUGGGGGCGCGCGUGGCCGCGCGGCCGACCGCGUACGGCCCGGGCCAUUGACCCCCGUCGGCGGCCGUUGUCGCCGGGCCCAGAGGGCGCAGGCCGCCCGUGACUGCAGCGGGCCGGCGAGCGCUCUGGCUCGAUCGCGGGGCGGCGGGCGCGCGUGAGAGAGGAAAAGAGAGAGGGAGUAGUGGCGGCGGGGGCGCGGUGUACGACGGAGGUUGGCUCGGGGGCGCGGCGGGGGCGCGUCGUACGACGGCGCUCGGAGCGGCGGCAACGACGACGUCGUGGACGAAGAGAAGACAACGGCGGCGGUUAGGGCUAGAUCUGGCGCGGUGGGGAAGGAGAAGAAAGGGCUCUGCCCUUUAUAGGGCAGGGCACCUUUAGUCCCAGGCCGUGCCACCGCCUGGGACUAAAGGGUCUUUAACCCCGGUUCCAGGCUGGAACCGGGACUAAAGGUCUAGGUAGUCCCGGUUCCAGCCUGGAACCGGAGCUAAAGACCCUUUAGUCCCGAGCGGUGGCACGGCCCGGGAUUAAAGGUGUUUCACCAAAUUAUGGCGCCAGUUCAGGCGCCAUAAUUUUGUUUUCCCUUUUUUAUUUUCCCUUUACAUUGUUAAAUGCAUUAUAAAUUAAAUAAAUCUGAUAAAAUUGUUAAAAAAUACACAUUAAUUUUAUUCUGCUCUACUCUUGAGUAUAAAAAUUCUUAACACAAUUGCUUUUUAAAUAUUUCAUAUUAUUCAAAAUAAAUGUUAUUCAUAAUGAAUAUUGUGUUAAUGCAAAAAUAUAAUGACCAAUUAAAUUUUAAAAAAUUGUUGGCUUUAAACAGAUACUUUGUUUUUGGGUCAUUUGGACGUUAAACUUUUGUUUCUUUAGUAAUAAUUAUACAAAUGCGCGACAUUGAUUGUAUAAAUUUGAAAUUUAAAUUUUCAAAAGUUGUAAGAUGUAUUUUGGAACCCUGGAUGGCCUCAAAUGGAAAACUCAUGAAUACAAAGUUUAUUCCACUCAUCAAGACCUACAUUUUCUCUAGUGGUCACAUUUUCAUUUGAAAAAGUUUAGACCACUCAAUUUUGAAAUUUGAAAGAAUUCAUAGCGAAACGCUAACUUUCAGAACCAUGGAUGGCCUUAAAUGGAAAACUCAUGAAUACCAAUAUUGCUCCACUCAUCAAGAUCUACAUUUCAUAUAUAGACUAUUUUUGCAUUUGACAAAGUGUUGGCAAAGUGUAGUUCAAAAUCCACACUUCCCAUGUAUAGUUUCAUAAAGUUUGUGUGAGAUUCAAGAUUUGGUGAGUAUUGUUUACAUAAACUUUCCCAAAUGGAAAAAUGGUCUAUAUAAAAAGUUUAGAUAUUGAUGAGCUCUAACAACUUGGUAUUCAAAAGAUUUCCAUUCCAAGUCAUUUUCUUCGUCGUUUGACCAAGUUUGACCAAAGCCCGUCUUCGAAUUUGAAAACAUGUGCCUCGGACUCGAUCAAAUUUAUCCGAAUGAAAAUAUGAUCCAUAUUUGAAAUGUAGGUCUUGAUGAGACCUAACAACUUGGCAUUCAAAAGUUUUCCAUUUGAAGUACUCAGGCGGGUCAUUUGACCAAGUUUGACCAAAGUCAAAAUAGUAGGUUUCACAAACACACACUUUGACCGAGCCCUGGAUGGCCUCAAAUAGAAAACUCAUGAAUACAAAGUUUGUUCCACUCAUCAAGACCUACAUUUUCUCUAGUGGUCACAUUUUCAUUUGAAAAAGUUUAGACCACUCAAUUUUGAAAUUUGAAAGAAUUCAUAGCGAAACGCUAAUUUUUAGAACCAUGGAUGGCCUCAAAUGGAAAACUCAUGAAUACCAAUAUUUCUCCACUUAUCAAGAUCUACAUUUCAUAUAUAGACCAUUUUUGCAUUUGACAAAGUGCUGGCAAAGUGUAGUUCAAAAUCCACACUUCCCACGUAUAGUUUCAUAAAGUUUGUGUGAGAUUCAAGAUUUGGUGAGUAUUGUUUACAUAAACUUUCCCAAAUAGAAAAAUGGUCUAUAUAAAAAGUUUGGAUAUUGAUGAGCUCUAACAACUUGUUAUUCAAAAGAUUUCCAUUUGAAGUACUCAGAUGGGUCACUUGACCAAGUUUGACCAAACUUGGGAAUACCAAUAGUUCAAAAUCCACAUCAAGAUGUUACAAUUAUAUUACACAUAAUGUUACAAUUAUAUUACACAAGAUUUCAAGUACAAAUCACUACCAUUAUCAAGCUAGCACAGUGGUAAACUUUUUCUUAACAUAAUGCCCUUGGUUAUGAUCAUUCCGUAACCAUGGAGUGUCCUCUGCAGCGAGCAUGAUGCUUGGGUCUUUAGCCACACAGAAGGGUGGGAUCCGUUCAUCCUUUUCAUAAUCCUCUGACACGUCUGACUUGUCUUCAAUUCCCAUGAUGUUUCUUUUCCCUGUAAGAACGAUGUGUCGCUUUGGCUCAUUGGUGUUUUUCUCGUCUUGUUUCCCUGUCUUAGGUUUUGUAGACAUGUCUUUCACAUAGAACACCUGAUUCACCUUAGUACCGAGGACGAAUGGAUCAUUUGUAUAUCCAAUAUUGUUGAGGUCCACUGUUGUCAUUCCGUACUCCUUAUCGACUGAUACCCCGCCUUUCAUCUUCACCCAUUGGCAUCGGAAUAAAGGGACUUUAAAAUUAUGUGCAUAGUCUAGUUCCCAAAUCUCCUCUAUACGACCAUAAUAUGUGUGCCGGUCCCCAUUUGUGUCCGUGGCAUCCACACGGACACCACUGUUUUGGUUGGUACUCUUUUUAUCUUGUGAUACGGUGUAAAAUGUAUUUCCAUUUAUCUCGUACCCUUUCUAUGUGAGGACGUGCCAUGCUAGUUGCCUAGCCAACAAAUAAAGUUCAUCUCCAAUAUCUUUAUCACCCUGGCAUUUUUUCGCAACCAGUCACCGAAUGUUUCCAUGUGAUGACGCGUAACCCAAGUCUCAUUCUUUCCAGGAUUCUCGGAUCGUACAAAAUCCAUGUGUUCCUCAAUAUAGGGUUCCACCACAAUGGAGUUUCGAAGGACUGUGUAGUGCGCUUUAUUGAAUAAAUCAUCACCCUGGCUGAUAUAUGUUUUCUUUCCUAGUGUACCCUUUCCACCGAGUCUCCCCUCAUACCUUGAUUCAGGAAGACCAAUCGGGUCAAGAUCAGGAAUAAAGUCCACACAAAACUCAAUGACCUCCUCUGUCCCGUAUCCCUUGAUGAUGCUUCCUUCUGGCCGACCCCGCUGGUGAACAUAUUUUUUCAGUACACCCAUAAAUCUCUCUAAGGGAAACAUGUUGUGUAUGAAGACAGGACCCAAAAUAUGAAUCUCUUUGACCAGAAGAACUAGGAGAUGUGUCAUGAUAUCAAAGAAAGAUGGAGGAAACACCAACUCAAAGCUGACAAGACAUUGAACCACAUUGUUCUGUAGAGUAGCUAGAUCAAGAGGAUUGAUUGCCUUCUGAGAAAUUGCAUUGAGGAAUGCACACAACUUCACGGUGGCCAGACGUACAUGUGGAGGUAGAAUUCCUCUUAAGACAACCGGAGGCAGUUGUGUCAUAAUCACGUGGCAGUCGUGCGAUUUUAAGUUGACAAAUUUUUUCUCUGGCACAUUUAUUAUACGCUUUAUGUUGGAGGAGAACCCAGAUGGGACCUUGAUGCUGCUUAGGCACUCAAACAUGAUUUUCUUCUCCUCAUUGCUAAGAGUGUAGCUAGCAGGUCUUAAAUACUAGCGUCCAUCAUCUGUCUGCUCUGGAUGCAGGUUGUCUCGUUCUUUCAUGCGCUUUAAGUCCUCUGGAGCCUCAAGGGUAUCCUUAGGCUUUCCAAACACACCCAUAAACCCUAGGAGAUUGACACAAAGAUUCUUCGUCAGGUGCAUCACGUCGAUGGAGUGGCGGACCUCAAGGUGUUUCAAAUAUGGUAGCUCCCAAAAUAUUGACUUUUUCUUCCACAUUGGGGCACGCCCUGAAGCGUCUUUCGGAACAGGUUCACUGCCUUCUCCCUUUCCAAACACUACUUUCAAAUCUUUGACCAUCUCGAAUACCUCUGCCCCAUCUCGGUUGCCUGGCUUGGACCGGUGUUCUGCCGUACCUUUAAAAUGUUUGCCUUUCUUUCUCAACUGGUGGUUCUUAGCAAGAAAUCGACGAUGGCCAAGGUACACGACCUUUUGGCAUUUUUUCAAAUAGAUAGCUUGAAGGUCACCAAAGCAAUGGGUGCAAGCAUUAUAUCCCUUGUUUGUCUGUCCUGAAAGAUUACUUAGAGCUGGCCAAUCAUUGAUUGUUACGAACAACAAUGCUCGUAGGUCGAAUGCUUCCUGUUUGUACUCAUCCCACAUACGCACACCUGGUUUGCUUCAUAGAAGCUGGAGUUCCUCAACCAAUUGCCUCAGGUAAACAUCGAUGUCGUUGCCAGGUUGCUUCGGACCUUGGAUGAGCACCAGCAUCAUAAUGAACUUCCGCUUCAUGCAUAACCAUGGAGGAAGGUUGUAGAUACAUAGAGUAAUGGGCCAAGUGCUAUGACUAGAGCUCUGGUCCCCAAAAGGAUUAAAUCCAUCCGUACUCAAUGCGAACCUUAGGUUUCUUGCGUCCUCUGCAAAUUCCGGGAAUUCUCUAUCGAUUCCUCUCCACUGAGAACCAUCUGCAGGGUGUCUCAACAUGUUGUCCACCUUACAGUCUUCUUUGUGCCAUCGCAACAACUUUGCAUGCUCCUUAUUUCUGAACAAACGUUUUAAGCAUCGAAUUAUUGGAGCAUACCACAUAACCUUGGCAGGGAUUCUCUUCCUCAGACGUUCUUCAUCCUCAACAUCGCCAGGGUCAUCUCGCAAGAUCUUGUACCGUGACGCAUGGCAAACAGGGCAUUCAUCUAAUUUCUCGUGCUCGCCACGGUACAGGAUGCAGUCAUUAGGGCAUGCGUGUAUCUUCUCGAUUUGUAAUCCCAAAGGGCAGAUGAUCUUUUUUGCUUCGUAUGUAGUGGUGGGUAACUCAUUAGGCUUCGGAAGCAUCUUUUUUUUGGAACUUCAGUAAUUUUCCAAAUGCCUUGUCAAAAAUACCAUUCUCUGCCUUUCACUGUAACAACUCCAGUGUCGUUCCUAGCUUUUUCUGUCCCUCUUCGGCAAACAGGUAGAGUAGCUUCUUGUGAUCCUCUAGCAUUUGGUCAAAUUUAGCCUCCUCCUUUGCACUUUCGCAAUCUCUCUGUACGUCGCGAAUGACAUCACCAAGAGCAUCGUCAUCAUCAACGAUACUGUUUCCUGCAUCCCCGUCUUCAUCACCUUCGUCCUCUACUGCGAAGUCGCAGUAUUGAGCAAAAACAUCGUCAGGGUACGCUUGCUCUUCUUCACCUUCUUCCGUCAUAACCCCGGACUCUCCGUGUUUGGUCCAACAAAUAUAGUUUGGCAUGAAACCAUUUGUGAACAAGUGCAAGUGAAUUUCUCUUGAGUUUGAAAAUUCCUUCAAAUUCCUACAAACGGCACAUGGGCAGCACAUAAAACCAUCCCGCUUAUUUUGCUCCGCCACUCUGCGGAAUUCUUGCACGCCCUCAAUGAACUCGUUGGAGCGGCGAUCAGCAUUGUACAUCCAAUGGCGUGCCAUUAUCUGCAUUAUCAUGAAAUUGUAAUUUUUCUAUUAAAAGCUAUAAUUUUAUCAGUAAAGAAAAUUAAUUUCAAGAAUUUUUAAAGUGAAAAACAAUUUAUUUAACAAAUACAACAAAAAUUAUAUUAUUAAUAUUUUAAAAUAAGAACAUAAACAUAUUAAAGUAGAAAAUAUCCUAUAAUAUCUAUAAUAGAACUAAACAUGAUUCGUGUAUACAUAGUAGUAAUGAUUUGUGUAUACUAGUUUUUAGCGGGCACACACUUAGCAUCGUUCAAAAAAAUUCAAACAUGAGAAGAUGAUGAUUGGAGAGAUAGCAACAUGAAAUAAUUAACAUAGACAUAUGUCCAGUAUGAAAUUACAGAUGGCGGUGAAAAACAUAGGAGGAUGAAGCUAGUAACCUUUCAAACAAAUCGACGACGACGUAGGAGCGUUGAAAUGGAUCGAUCGUGGGAGAUGAGAGCACUAACAAGCAAGAACAAUGGAAGAACAAGCAAGAACAAAGCACCUCGAGCUCGGGCAGGGAGAGGAAGAAGGGAGGAGGGAGAUUCAAUUUAUAGCGGGGAGGGUUUAGUCCCGGUUGGUGUUACCAACCGGGAGUAAACACCUACCUUUAGCCCCGGUUAGUGCCAACGACCGGGACAAAAGCUUUAGUCCCGGUUAGUGUCACAAACUGGGGCUAAAGGUAGGUCUUUAGUCCCGGUUUGUAAUGCACACCGGGACUAAAGGUCCCUCUCCGACAGCGCCUGACACCAGAGCUGUUGGAGAGGGACCGUUAGUCCCGGUUGGCUUUACCAACCGGGACUAAAGAUCUCUUUUGUCCCGGGCGCCAAAAAUGUCGGGACUAAAGCUCAUUUGGCACAUCGACGAAAGGUCUGUUCUCUAGUAGUGAGGGUUUCCGGGCAUGUUAGGGUCCAUCGAUUGUAUGCAUUGGGAAUGGAAGAAUUGUCCAAUGGAAUCACAGGGCCAGUACAAGGGGCAUGAGAACAAGCCAACUAUAAUUUUAGAAGCUGUUGCAUCUUAUGACCUUUGGUGUUGGCAUGCAUUUUACGGGAUGCCUGGUUCUCAUAAUGAUAUCAAUGUUCUUCAUCGGUCUCCUCUAUUCGACAACCUGGCAGAAGGUAGAGCUCCAGAGGUGAACUAUACAAUUAAUGGCCAUGAGUACAAUAUGGGGUACUUCCUCGCAGAUGGUAUUUAUCCCCUAUGGGCGACUUUAGUCAAGACCAUCUCAGCUCCUAUGGGGAACAAGCAGAAGUAUUUUGCAACAGCACAAGAAGCAGCAAGGAAGGAUGUUGAAAGGUUUUUUAGCGUACUGCAGGCAAGGUUUCCUAUCAUUAGACAGCCAGGUCGCAUGUGGGACAGGGAGACACUUGCGUUGAUCAUGAGGGCUUGUAUUAUCAUGCACAAUAUGAUUGUUGAAGAUGAAAGAGUCGUCGACCCAGAUGUGCGGUUCCCGGAUGUUGCUGAAAAUGUGCGUCCUUCUCAUGGCACGUCUACUCGCACACUUGCUGAAUUUAUCGAGGCCCAUAAAAAGAUCAGAGACAAGCCAACACACUUUCAGUUGAAAGAAGACCUUAUCGAGCACCUAUGAAACCGUCAUCCUGAUUUAUACUUCACACAACCAGCAUUAUGAUUUAUAUACAAGCCAACUAUUAUUAUUUGUACUUCCAUCGAUUUCUUAGCAUUUGAACAAAUGUAUUAGCGUCUGUUUAUUUGAUUCUGAAUAGUGUAGUCCAGAAUGUAUUAUUUCAUUUUGAACAAAUGUAUUAGUCUGAAAACGUGCAUGGUCCUGUAGCAAUGCUCAACGUCCCUAUCAGGUAGCAAUGAUCAACGUCCAGGUAUCACAAGCAAAUUGGCAUAUCACAAGCAAAUUGACAUUUAUUUCAAUAACAAAUAAUAUAGCAAAUUGUCCACACUUUGAAUGAUUUCAAAUAAAGCACGUCCAGGUAUCACAAAAGCACGUCAAAAUAAAAUAUAAAGUGACAAGGGAAAUAAUGGUUCUGCAACUAAAGUCGGAAAAUUAAUAGCUUUGUUCAAACUGAAACUAAAACUAAAACUAAAGGUUGUAACGCGCAAGGAUCUUCUUCUUCAUUGCGUUGUGCCACUUGAGCUGAUCUUCGUCGAGUUUGCUCGUGUCUGCUAGCAUUAUGUCUUUUUCCUCCUUUAGCAAGUUUGCUUCAGCGACUUUUUCAUCAUUUUCCAGUCGUUUCUUCUCAAGCUCAAUUGCAGCUUCCUCCUUUGCCUUAUUUACUUCAGCGACUUUGGCUUCAUUUUCCAGUCGUUUCUUCUCAAGCUCAAUAGCAGCCUUCUCUAACUCAAGAAAUUCCUUCUCAACAUUCUUGUCAUCCUCUCUUGCCUUGUCUCUUUCCCUGUCACAUAUCUCCUUCGUUUCCAACAUCUUCUGCAAAACUGCAAGAGAGGCGUCGUCCCGCAUAGCUUGUUUUACCUGUUUCUGCCCCGGUGGCCUCUUACGCUCUUUAGAACCUAGGGUUGCAACCUCUACCACUUCAUCAUUGUUGCUCAAAGGGUCACUGCUCGGCGUAGACUCAUUGGUAGUCUUCUGUUUUUUGUUCUUCUGAUUUAGUUCAAUCCGCAAUGUCUUCCACUUGUCUUGAUCCUUCAGAAUGUGAUAACAAUGCAUAAGAGUGAACUUUUGCUGCUUGUUCUCGUCGUCUUCUCCCGUAUGUCUCCAAUGCUGCAUUAAUCUGCACAUGUAAAAAAAAUUUAAAUAUUUAUAAAUUCACAAUUGAACCAAAACUUGGAAUACAAAUGAAAGAACCAUACUACGAAAACUCACCAUGUCCUGGAUAGUCGAUCCACUAGCGUUCCUACGCUCAAUUUUCUCGUAGCAUGAACAAAACUUGUUCACCUCCCUCUGAAUAGUCCCCCACCUGUGCAUAAUAGAAGCCUCUGUCCUAUCAAUGGUAGAUGUCUUUUUGUCCUUGUGUUUGUUAAAGAAUGCACGAAUUCUACCCCAAAAUGUUGACCGAGGUUGAUUCGCACCGACAAUUGCAUCUUUGCUAACUUGCAACCAAGCUAAGCAUAUGACUUUGUCCUCCUCUAUGUCAAAUUUCUUUUGCCUAUGGGAGGCACCCUUUUUAGCACAACGCACACCAACAGAAGGAACUACAGCUAGCUGUGAUUGCAUAGGAUCAGCUUGAAAUUCAGAAGAAUCAUUAGUACCACUGAACUCAAUGUCCUGCGUCAGCGAAAAAUUCAAGUCCAAAUCCAGGCCCAAUGCAACAUCACUCGGAUCAGCAUCUGAUGUGAGUAUGCCGGUAUAGUAUCCAACGUCUUCCAUUACAAAGUAAUCUGCUAAUGGAAAGAACAACCCAUGUCACUAGAUGAAGAAAAAUUUAACAUAUCAAAAAAUUAACAUCUUCUUUACAUAGGCAUUCAGGUUUCUAUUCAACAUGAAAAAUAAAAACACAAUCGAUGCCACGCCAUCAAUAGAGACCACAAAUAUUGCAAAAAAUUUAACAUAUCAAAAAAAUAACAUCUUCUUUACAUAGGCAUUCAGGUUUCUACUCAACAUGAAAAAUAAAACACAAUCGAUGCCACACCAUCAAUAGAGACCACAAAAAUUGCAAAAAAUUUAACAUAUCAAAAAAUUAACAUCUACUGAUCGGCCAUAUCAAGGCAUCACAUCACAACCAUGUGUAGGCAAUAAACCCUAGCAGAAAUCCAUAGCUACGAUCACAACCAUAUGAAGACAAUAAACCCUAGCAGGAAACCUCGACCUUGCCUGCUGUAUGCGCGCCGUGGAGACCCCUGGAGCCGCGGCCACCUGGAGACGUCGGGCAGCCGCACGAAGCCAGAGUUGCCUGAAGCCGCGUCCGCUGCGUGCCUGAGGCCGCGUCCGCUGCGUGCCAGCAGCGCCGGCGAUACGACGAGUCGUCAGGCGAGAGAGAUCGCGUCCGCUGAUUGCGUCCACAGAUCACGCGAGAGAGAUAGAGGCCAGGGGGUCGCGGCGGCCACGGAGUCGGGCACGAGUCCGUGCGAUAUGUUCUCUGCGUGUGCGAGACGAGGACCGGGCGACCGAAUCAGCGCGGGAGGAGAUUUUGCCAAACUCAGAGUCCUCUGCAUAAAUGCCAAGUUGGGAGGAAGAUUUGCAAAGUUUGCACAAAUGCAAAACUCAUUUGCAAAACCAUUGGAGCCCUCUUUUUGUGGUUUUUUGCAAAUUAUCAAAUGCAAAACUGAUUUUGAGAGGCCCUUGGAGAUGCUCUAAGAUUAGUAUACUGUAUAGGCAACUAAAUGUACUCUGAUCAGGCAAUAUUAUGGCAAGGUCAAGGAAAAAUAAUACAAAUCAUUAGGCAAUUUUUGUAUGCAUUCCUGAUGAUUUUUCUUAUUGUGCAAUAACUAUUAUUAUUUUUCUUAGAUUUUCUAAUAAAAUGUGAAUAUGGAUAUUAUUCAUGUAAUGAUGCGGUUAUUCAUGAACAAGUGUUUAUUCUCAUUUGUGUAUUUCUGUACACUAGCUAUUAUCCCUACGCAGAUCAGUCUAUUUUUUGGCCGUGGCUGUGAUCUGUUUUCUUUUUUGUCUUUCCAUGCCUAGAUUACCAAGAAGUAAUUAGCAUAUCCUCCUCCAUUUUUAUUUUUUCACGGAUUGGAUUUCUAGAUAUUUUAUAGUAUAUAAAGUAUAUAGUGUCUCUGCUUAGAUUGCCAAGCUUGAUUGUCAGUGUUAUUGUAAGUAAGAGGCUUUUUCUGAAAUCUUAUAUGGAUUAUAUAGGAAGUAGUCCAAGUAAGAAGAUGCUUUUUUAGAACACAUAAAUCGCCCAUUUAAGAAGUCAUUUUUGCCUAAUGAAUGACACUUUUUUGCCUGAGAAAAUGCAAUCCACUACAACAUUACCAUUUUUGCUUUUCAUGACAUUCCUGCUUGUAGUUGUGUAUGCUUUUUUCUGAUUUUUUUCUGACUUUUUUAAAAUUUAUUUACAGACAAUGGGUAGAAGAAAGAGGGACACAAGUGAUGGUUGUACUAGCUGUUGACGGUCCUUAAGUAUCAAAUUUAAUUAUCAAAUAAACAAAGAAAAGGAUUGAAAUGAAAUCAACAUCUAGACUUAGGGUUUUAUCUGACAGAAUUCCACAAGUUUUGGUGUUUGUCUAUUUCUGCAGGGGGUUAUCAGGAAAUACGGAAGAAAGAUCCACACGUCGGGAUUACAUAGAGAUAUCAAUGUGCCGCACAAUUAUUUUACAUCUAGAAGACUCCAGAAGCCAUGGGAAGGAAGCGGAGGCCGAACGGAACCAGGACCUGGGCGCCCGCCCAAGUCCUUAGGGCGCCCGCCCUGCUACAGUGGCCAAUCACAUUCAACCUCGUGGAUUAUGCUCCACCGACCUAAAGGAUCAAGAAUAACCGUUCAAUCAAUGUCGGUUUGAUCCGACGGCCCAGGUUCACUUGAGGGGACUAUAUAACCAGACCCCCUGGCCCCUGGAGGAGGCACCCCUUGAUCAUUAUUCAUUAUUCAUAGACAGAGCAAAAGCUAGGGUUUAGAGAUGAGAGCUCUCCUCUCUUCUCUAAACUAGAGUAGAUCUAGAUAGUAGCAAGAUGGAGAGCGAAGGAGGAUUAGAGGAGAGGCCGGCCUGUCGGUUCUUCCUCCGGUUGUACUUCGUCAUGAUCAAGCUCUAAUCAAGCUUGCUCAUGGGAUGACUCUGGUAAUCUACUUCUAAUUCAUUAUGCAAUUACUAAUUAUGUAUGUUCUGGUUCACAACUCUUUUGAGUAUUCUAAUCUAUAGGACGCUAUAGGUGAGAGAGUUGUAGUAUAGGUGUAAGCGAGGUGCUUAGAUCUAGAUUACUUGUGGAUAUCCCCUGUCUAGCUGGAUCGUGUGGUAGGCCGCAUAGGUGACAGUUACGUUGGUCCUCUGUAGUCCACCUCUCGUUAGCAGGACGGGUAGGGUUUAUCGGCCUAAGGAUAAGCAUCCUUUGUGGUGUACUCUUAUCACGUGGUUCGUCCCAGACAUAGACAUACCCCUUUGAAGUAGAGAAACCAUAGUUAUCCUCUCUAUUCUGCUACCAUCGCCCAUAUACUAUAAUUGCUCUACUCUCUAUUCCCAUAUUAUCACUCACUGUUAUCUUACCUUUAAUAUUGUUCUUAUUCGAUUCUACCAUCUUUCCUAUUUACACUUAUUUACUUAUCUUGGUUAAGUUAGAGCGUAGAUCAGUUCUCCCGUUUCCGGGUAAAAGCUUCAACGGUAUCCGUGCGCUUGCGGAUUAUCUGUGUGCGUAUAAAUACCAUAGUACACUCUAGUGCCAUGCUGGGGAUGACAACCUAGUAUUCAAGUGGUGUUAGCAAGUGUCAACAAGCAUUUUUGGCGCCGUUGCCGGGGAAACGGUUGCUGAGUUGACUACGAACUAGCUUAAGCAUUUUCUAAAAAAAAUAAUAAAAAAAAAAUUCCUUUUAUCGUUUGCCUCAUCUCUGCUAAUCUUUCUUCUUAUCUAAUCCUUGAUCUCUGGUCUAUCAUGAAUUCAGACAUGUCUAUCUAUGAAUUUCAUAGACCUACGGGCACACAUCUCGAACCACCAAAAUCUUCAAAGCCUAUCAUAGCAUCUAGUUUUGAGAUAGACCCGGAAUACAUAGAAUUUGUUCAAAAACAAUCUUUCUCAGGAGAAGGUGAGGAAAACCCAUACACACACCUAAGAGAGUUUUAUCGAGUCUGUGACCUCCUUCGCAUAGAAGGCAUGUCUGAUGAGACCCUUAAAUGGAAGCUCUUUCCGUUCUCUUUAACGGGAAAAGCUAGACAUUGGUAUAAACUCAAAGUAGGGAGUGUUCAUGGAGAUUGGAAGGAGUUACAUAAUAGUUUUCUUUUAAAAUUUUUUCCAAUCUCUAAAGUGGCGGAACUUCGGCGUGAGAUUAUUUCUUUUAGACAACUGGAAGAAGAAUCUCUUGGUAAAUCAUGGGACCGCUUUAUUAACCUUACUCUCACUGGCCCAAAGCUUUCUAUUCCAGAAGAAGUUUUUCUAAUUCACUUUUUUGAGGGCCUUAGUAGGGAAGAUAAGCAAACCCUUCAUGCGGCCUCUGGAGGAUCUUUCCACCACCUAUCCGCUAGUGAAGCUUGGAAUUUGAUUGAUUUAAUGAGCGGAAAGUCUCCUAGCUUUUAUAUCCCUGAGAAAGAGACAGAACCAGUUCCUAGACAAGAAGAAGAAGUUUCGAUAGCCAGAUCACAACCACUUCAAUUCCAAACUUUAGCUAUCAAUCCUAAACCAUCAAUACCCCAAAAUUCUCCAAGGGAGGAAGGAAUUCCGACCUUAAAUCUUUCAGAUGCUGAUGGUUUAGACUUCUGGUUCCAUAAGAGACCUUCAAGCAGGGAUAAUUCAAAUCCUCGCAAUAAUGGUUCUCUUAGAGAAUGUCCUGGUUCCUGUUAUGAAGAAGUCGAGGAUGACAUAUCAAGUGAAGGAGAGCUAAGCCAUAUUGGAAAUUCUAACACCUCCCCUUUCCUGAUCACAAGUUCUAAAUGGCUAGAAUGUGUAGAAUGGAUGGAUAAGGAAGAAGCCUUAAUGGAUUCUAACUUUGGCUCAAUUUCAAAUGAUGAGUUCUUGACUCCCUUUGAAGAUGAGAUUCAUCCAACUACAGAAGAGGACAUAGGUGAGACCAAUCCAGGAGAAACUCCAAACAUUCAGAUUAGAGAUGAAGAUAACAUUAAUGAGCAUGGAAUUUAUUUCAUAGCCACUUCGUUUGCUCCAUGCUCAUAUGCAACAUCUUCCCAAUCUAUUGGUCUCUCCAACAUCACCACAUUUGAGAUCUCCAACCCCCUCUUCCUUUUUAUUUCUAAAAACUUUAAAAGGGCGGUUGUCGAUGCAUAUGUCUAUAAUAAAUAUUGCAGAUCUCGUUGAGUUGAUCUUGAUUUAGGUCAGCGUUGGAAGGGAAACCACUUCGCCGACAUAAAUUGAUGGUUUCCCAAGGACAAGCUUGGUGUCCUAAAAUAAGCACUGAUCAGAUCGUGACAUGAGUUUUUAAUUAUUUGCAACAUUACCUUGUGUGUUGAGCAUAUAAGGAUAAUUGUAAAAAUAUUCCUUCGGGUAUUCUUGUCACUAACCUUUCCAGGAUUGGAGCAAGAAGAUCGGAUGAAUGACAAGCAAGUACAAGGUAUGUCCAACCAAUCAUCAUGCAACACUGAAUUAAAUUCAUCCAAACUUGAAUUCUGCAGAAUUCAAGCUUGGGGGAGUACUUUACAUAAAAACAUCCUUUGCCAUGUUGCUAUGUUGGUUGUCCCUACAUUUAAGACAUGCUCAAUUUGUUAAAUACUAAUCACACUACUUCAUCUCCACUUGAGUAGAUCUCUAUAAAUGCUGUUAUGCUACCUUUGUCUAUUUACUAGUAAGUGUUAGUUUGGAUGUACUGCACAUACUUCUAUUGGCUUUUAAAUUAAGCAUGGUGCUUAGGUUAAAUAGCCUUCCUUAAUCUGAUCAGACAUGGAGUCUAGUUCGGUUAUUGAACUAAAAACUACUUGUGUAGACAUUGGUAUAUUUUUGUCGGACUAACCCCUGCAGAAAAACUUUCAAUAUCGAUUUGGGAAGUCCUGAGAUAAACUCACAUCAGAGACGAAGAGAGUGACACAUGAAGUUUAACAAUUUGCACAAGAAGGACAUAGCUCAUUCAUCAUAGAGAGAUGAUCCAUGGAGGGUGCCACAAACAUGAUGCACAACCGCUAAGAAAGGAAAGCUUCCACAAGGUGAUACUGUACCAUCACUCUUCAAGCAAGGUAACAUCUUAAGGUACUUAUCACUUUUAUAAGCUUCUCCUUGGUUAUGGCAUUCAUAUAAAUAAAAGAGACAAACAUGUAUGAUUUACAACUCUAGAUUAACCAACCCAACUGAUUCAACAUGUUUAGUCCUUUAAUCCUUGUUCUUAGUACUACCUCCAUGAUCCCACACUCCUAAUCAUAUGAGCUAAAAUGUUACACAUUCAAUCAUUGAGAGAUAUAAAGAAAAAGACAUAUACAUAGAUAGAUUAUCUUUCCAUAAGGUUGAGCGAUCUGAUCUGACAAAUGUUAUAAGUGCUACACUCAUGAACUUUUCAUCCAUCAACUUUGUCUUGCUCACUAUGUUUAGGGUUAGAGAAGAACAAAUACACUUUAGGUUCUGUUGGUGUUUUCCACCAACAGGACCCUGCACUUGAUCUCUGCCUUGUCUCUAUGAGCAGGUACACUUUGAGCAAAACACGGAGGAGUUUUAUAACUCUCAGACUCUACCAAGUGAAGGACCUGGAUCUACGAGCACAAACACACUGAGCAGGAUACUACCAACGCCGCACUUCGAACUGCUGGGCAAACAAAGAGGUGCAGACGUCAAGGUCCGUACCUGAAUCAAUUGACGCACCUGAAGAAUGAACACGGUGAGAAGUCUUGUUAAGAAGACUUAAAACAUUGAACCCUCGCCGGAAGGUAAGAUCGGUAGUUAUCCAUAUUUAUCCUUUCUGCAUUCCCUUUUCCCUUUAAUUAUUUACUUUCCUUAAAUAGAUUAUUAGUUAAUCAUGCUAUCUUGAAAAGAAAAUAAAAAUGUUAAAAAAUACUAAACCCCAUGUGAGUAUACGAGUGGCAUAAAACCCAUAAGUACCUUCACUGUGGUGGCAUAAAAAUAAAAUAAAUAUUUCUUUUCUGCUUUAUAAAAUAAAAAUAUAAAAACAGGGAGUAAUAUUUAUUGAGGAAGCUCAACAUGAUGAAGGCUAGAUAUUUAUGCUAACACUUAAUUAGUUCCACAAGCUUUGUUGUCUAUUUGAGCUCCACAGAAUUUAAGAAUCAAGAAGACUAGCAGACGGAGGACAUUCUAAUCGCUGUCAGAAUGCUGCUGACUUUCAAAUACACCUCUGCCACCUGCUAGCUACAUCAAGAGAAAUUACGUCAAAAUUCAGCUUGGGGGAGAGCACCCCCAUUUAUCUCGCUAAGUAUUUCUACCUAUCUUUAUACUUAUAUUAUAUUAGAAUAUUAAAAUACAUAAACUAUGAAAAACCAAAUAAAGAUUUUGUGCUUAUAUAUAUAUCUUUUGCUUAGUGUGUUUAAUAAAUAAAUAAAGUGGCUAUGCUAAUCUGAAUCUUAAUAAUAAAACUCUAGCAUGGAUAUGAUGAAUAGUUGCUCUGCCUAAUUUGCAAAUUUGAAGUUCUCUCUCAAGUUUAGACAUAACUGUUAUAAUUUAAAGCUUGCUCUAGAUCUAAACUUGUGGGAUGAAAACUUGAUCUGAAAUCUAAGUUGUUAACGAAUAUGAUAUGGGAAGGUUGAGCUGUUGUUUAUCUGUUCCUAGAGAUGCUAGAAUUCUGGAGAAUUUUAUCUUUGAAAAAUCUUUAAAAUAUUGCAUGAUGAGUUCGUGUAUGUUGAAAGUUUAAAUUCCUACCACAGCCAUAUAUACAUGCUUGCUAGACUUUGAGCCACACAUUUACUAUUUACUGCUUAUGAGCAUUGAGUGUGGUCAAGCUGUGUAGACCCUUAGGAGCUUGUCAUGUGGUUAAAUCAAGAUUUCACUUGCACAUUCACUCAUAUAUGCUACUUCUACUCCGGAAGUACCAUCCACAUAUAUACACCCAUGUCCAUCUCCAGAACCACCCAAAAAUAUUCUACUCCUAAUCCGGGAGAGAAUAGCCAAAAAUAUUUCUGUUUUCCCUUGUGAAAUAAAUGCUCAAGUUAUCUUGCUACUACCUCUUGCUAUAUCAUCUCAAGAGAUGAGUGCUCUGAAAAGAAAAAAAAUAAAAGAGAAGAAAAGAAAAAAAUAAUAAACGAGGAAAUAAAAAGGGGCAAGUGUCCGGAACCUCGAAAGAAAAAAAAGAGUGAGACGAGAGGUAAAAAUGGACAAGUGUCCGACAGUAGAAUUAGGGGUACAAGAUACCCACCUGAGAGGAAAGAAAAAAAUGAAAGAUAGAGCAUCUCAUUCUCCUCAUAAAGUUUCAAAAAGCAAGGAAGGUAUGUAUCCCCUCAAAAGAGCAAAAGUAGAAUUAGACUUUCACCAUGUUAUCACCAUCAUCACCAUACACCAUUCAUUCGCCACACAUGCACAUCUUGAUUUGGCUUAUUGAUUUGUUUCUUUGGAUCCAUAGUUUGACUAUACAAUAAAUGUCUUGUAAGUAUGUAUACUUUAUCUCCCACCUAUGAGCUCCAGAUAUUAAAGUUAUUAGAGUAGGGUGAGAGAGAAGGCAAUGUCACUAUGCCUUAUACCACAAAUACCACAUAUCUUGAGAGAAGGCAUAUACCAUCACUGCCUUGGUAAGGAUCCAGAAAUACCACAAAAGAGAGAUUUAGAGAGUCAUACAAGGAAUCUCUGAGUUUUAUUUGAAAAAUCUGCAAAAACUCCAGAGCUAUAGCUGAUCAAGAAUAAGAGACAUGGCACUUGGCUAGACUGUUCUAUCUUUUAACUACUCAAGACAGAAGUGACGGUUACAAGUCCCAUGGUGAAAGGUAAAGUAAGUAAGUUUUAGUUCUUGACAGUUUACUCUAACUCAGAGAUGAGAUCUUAUUUAAAAGCAUGUGUACCGUCAAAUUUUUAAGAUAUUGCAACAACUUCUGAUCCAUUGCUGAGUCUAUCCUUGCUCAGAGACGAGCAAGAGGUAAGCUUGGGGGAGUUUGUUGACGAUCCUUAAGUAUCAAAUUUAAUUAUCAAAUAAACAAAGAAAAGGAUUGAAAUGAAAUCAACAUCUAGACUUAGGGUUUUAUCUGACAGAAUUCCACGAGUUUUGGUGUUUGUCUAUUUCUGCAGGGGGUUAUCAGGAAAUACGGAAGAAAGGUCCACACGUCGGGAUUACAUAGUGAUAUCAAUGUGCCGCGCAAUUAUUUUACAUCUAGAAGACUCCAGAAGCCACGGGAAGGAAGCGGAGGCCGAACGGAACCAGGACCUGGGCGCCCGCCCAAGUCCUUAGGGCGCCCGCCCUGCUACAGUGGCCAAUCACAUUCAACCUCGUGGAUUAUGCUCCACCGACCUAAAGGAUCAAGAAUAACCGUUCAAUCAAUGUCGGUUUGAUCCGACGGCCCGGGUUCACUUGAGGGGACUAUAUAACCAGACCCCCUGGCCCCUGGAGGAGGCACCCCUUGAUCAUUAUUCAUUAUUCAUAGACAGAGCAAAAGCUAGGGUUUAGAGAUGAGAGCUCUCCUCUCUUCUCUAAACUAGAGUAGAUCUAGAUUGUAGCAAGAUGGAGAGCGAAGGAGGAUUAGAGGAGAGGCCGGCCUGUCGGUUCUUCCUCCGGUUGUACUUCGUCAUGAUCAAGCUCUAAUCAAGCUUACUCAUGGGAUGACUCUGGUAAUCUAUUUCUAAUUCAUUAUGCAAUUACUAAUUAUGUAUGUUCUGGUUCACAACUCUUUUAAGUGUUCUAAUCUAUAGGACGCUAUAGGUGAGAGUUGUAGUAUAGGUGCAAGCGAGGUGCUUAGAUCUAGAUUACUUGUGGAUAUCCCCUGUCUAGCUGGAUCGUGUGGUAGGCCGCGUAGGUGACAGUUACGUUGGUCCUCUGUAGUCCACCUCUCGUUAGCAGGACGGGUAGGGUUUAUUGGCCUAAGGAUAAGCAUCCUUUGUGGUGUACUCUUAUCACGUGGUUCGUCCCAGACAUAGACAUACCCCUUUGAAGUAGAGAAACCAUAGUUAUCCUCUCUAUUCUGCUACCAUCGCCCAUAUACUAUAAUUGCUCUACUCUCUAUUCCCAUAUUAUCACUCACUGUUAUCUUACCUUUAAUAUUGUUCUUAUUCGAUUCUACCAUCUUUCCUAUUUACACUUAUUUACUUAUCUUGGUUAAGUUAGAGCGUAGAUCAGUUCUCCCGUUUCCCUGUGGAUACGAUAAAACCUUUAAUCGGGUAAAAGCUUCAACGGUAUCCGUGCGCUUGCGGAUUAUCUGUGUGCGUAUAAAUACCAUAGUACACUCUAGUGCCAUGCUGGGGAUGACAACCUAGUAUUCAAGUGGUGUUAGCAAGUGUCAACACUAGCGGUACACAUGUAUGUUGAAUCAUCCUUUUCUUAUAAAUGUAUAUAAUCUUAUAUUAUUUUUGUUUUUGUAUUUCCCCAUUUUUUUGCCUUUUUUUAGGGUGUAAGGAAUAGAGCAACGCCUGCUAGACUAUUUAAAUUGUACAAGGAAAUGUCAGAGGCCCAACGGAAGCUUGUUAGUGAUGCUAGCUUGGAGGUUUGCUUGAGAUAGGAAGUGGUCGAUUGCCAUCUGCCCUAAGUAAAUGGCUUGUGAAGAAUGUGGAUGGUGAAUCAGAAGAGCUUGUAAUUCUUGGAAGAGGGAAGAUUAAAGUAAAUGCAGCUUCUGUGAACAGGAUACUAGGGUUACCUAUGGGUGAAGAUGAGGUUAAAUACAAAUUCAAUGGAAGUGCAAUUAGUUUCAUCAAUAAAAAGUGCAGCUUUGACAAUGGAAGGUCUCCUGCAAUUACAACAAUAAUAGAAAGGCUGUGCGCAAAUAAGGAAGCUAAUGAUGACUACCUCCAGUGUUGGCUCAUUGUUGCUAUCUCAACUUUUCUAUGUGGGAGCACAGUUUUGUGCAUCAGCCCAAAGUGCUAUCCUUCUUUGGUUGAUCUAUCAAAAGUUAAGCAAUUGAAUUGGUAUAAAUUUGUAGUAGAUACUCUCAAAGGAUCCAUGAGAAAGAUGCAUAAAAAGGAUUCUGUUUGAGGUUGUCUAUAUUUCCUCUCUGUGAGUGUCUUUUCUUUUUCCUUUUAAUCUCCUAUUCAUGUACUACAUUUUCCUUUUUUACAUGUUUUUUAUGCUACCUUACUUAUAUGCCUUUUUAGAUACUUUUCCUAGACUCUUUGGAGGUAGGAAACAUACAAGUCCUUGAAAAAUAGCCAAGAGUUGCAGCAUGGAACAUCAAACUUAUCAACAAGGUCAUAAAGAUGGAUACUAGCACAAAUGGCACAUUCAGGAAACUCAAGGUAUGACUUUUUGUAUUUUUCUGUGUCAUUUUUUAUAUGUACUAUGCAUUUGUGAAUUUACUCAAAUCUUUUUCUCCUUUUUCCUUUUUUUGUGUGACAGCUCAAGAAACUAGCUGGUUCAGUCACUGAGACCUCUUUAUUUGGGGAUUUCCAAGACAGAUAAUUUUAUUUCGUACAGGGCAUCUGAACCCAUGACUUCAAAUGUAUGCAAAUAAUAGAAUCAAGUAAAACUGUAAUUUCCUACUCCACAAUAGUCUUUUUUGUAUAUUAGGCAACCAAAUUGUAUCAUUUACGCAACAUUACGCCAAAUAAUAGUUGUAUGCAUUUUUUUAGAAACAUUAGUCUCUCUCUCAUAUGGAUCAACCUAUCCCUUUUUUCUCUCUGUCACCACUCCUGUGAGUUUUUGUAGGAAGGUGAUAAGAUGGCCUCUACUAUCCCAUUGAGCAAUGGAUCCAUCAGCACUCGCCCUAUAACCAAGCACCGGGCACAAUAGUUAGGCAACAGUUAGGAGAUGAGAUCAUGGUUUUUUGGGCUGUUAGUUUUUUUCAGUCAGGCCUUACUCACACAAGGAGAGUCUAGAGGUUGAAGAAGAUGAGAUAAUGUGCUGUUUUUUGUUUGCCUCAAAGCAAGGGAAAAUGUUGUACCAGUAUGCAGCAUAUGAGAACUUGAUAGAAUCACUUAGGAGGAACCACAAAGCUUCUUGUGUGUCCAGUUACAAUACUAAGGCAUACAUAUCACUUAGGAGCUAACAUUUUUUAAACUUUUUUUAAUUAUAGAAGAAAAGAAAAUUAUCUAAAGUUGUCAAGAAAGCUUGUAUUGGUUUCACUUAAGUGAUAGGAACAAUUAUAAGUGAGGUGUCCACAAUUAGUGAUGAUUCUGAGGAUCAAGAGGAGCCCAGAACAUCUAGACAGAGAAGAACUACCAAUCCUCACCAACAAAACACCAAUGAAGAUAGAGAGAAUGAGGAGCCCAGAAGAUCCACAUGGAGAAGAACUACCAAUACUCACCAACAGGAUGUUGAUGAAGACAAAGAGAUCGAGGAGGAGGAGGAGGAUUGGAAGGAGGACGAGGAUGACAUAGAUGCUUUGAGGAGGAAGAGAGGAGGCGGACAAAGAAGUAGAGCUAGAGGAUGAGGAGGUGGACAAAGAAGUGGAGCUAGAGGACGAGAGUGUCUCUGAUGAGAAUGAUGCAAUCAACAAAGUUGAUCCACCGGCUGGUGAUUCAAGGGAAUCAGAACCAAUACCACUAGAAGUUGUUCCUUCUCAAUCAAGAAGGGAAAGGCUGAGGUAAAUGAGAUAUAUAUUUUUUGUGUUAAGUGUGCUACAGUUUCUAUUGGAUUGAAUUUUUAGUAACUUUUUGAAGAAAUCUGUACCUCUGCUUCCCACCCCACCCCACACAAAAAAAGUACAUUUUCUAGCUCCACACACUUUUUCUGUGAUGUUAUAGUAAAGUUGACAACAAAGUUGAUUUAUUUUGCCAAUUUUUUCUGAUGCAGGAAAGGUGGACUGUGCAAUAGGCUAGAUGAAUCCUAAACAUGCAUUUGGUGCAUGUUUUCUAAGUGUUUAUGAGUAGUAGAGAACCACUUAAAAAUAUGCAUGUAAUUUUAUUUAAGCAAUUUAAUAUUAUUAGUGAGGCAAGUUAUUAGUAAUCUGGUAGCAAUUAUGUGUGUCCGACCAAAAAACCUUUUUAAACUUAAUAUUAUUAGACUUUGAAGCCUUCUUUAACUUAAAAAACCUUGUUGCAAUGUGAAAUUAAUGCAAAGGAGAUUUUCAAGGCUUUUUUGGUUAUUCCUUAUAUUUUAAUGGUUUACUCUUGUUCCUAGUAUUCAUAAUUAUGAUAUCAUUCCCUAAUAUUUUUGUUGUGUAGCAACUGUCUCAUAUUUUCCCUUUUUGUGUGUCUAUUUAUACUUAUGGGUCAGCUGUGUUUCUGUGUUAAAUGGUCACUUAUACUAGUAUCACUCUCGUUAUGUCAAUUGAAUGAAUUGCUCAACUAUGGAGUGAUAGUAUUGCAACCAUGAAGAGAUAGUAUUUUUGUCUUUGUUUUUAGAUCAAGUUUUGUUUUCCAGUAACAUAACAGUACUAACACUAUUAUGUUUUUUUCAUGGCUAAAGGCUGCCUCCUUCUGCUAGUGUUGUGGAAAAGAAUGAAAAAUAGAAAAGCACAAUAAAUGGGAUUUUAGUGGGCCGCCAUUGGACAUAUGAGAUUCAUUGAAUUUCCCACACCCCGUGAACGUCCACCAUCAAAGCGAAGUGAAUGUAGUUCAGAAGGAACACAAGGAAAUAUGAUGAUGAUUAUUUUUGGGACAAUUUAAGUGAAGAAUAAUUUAAGGAACUUGAUGCCCAAAUUGAAGAUCUAGAAAGGAACAGGACACAUAAGUCAUUUUCUAGCAGUGCAGUUAAGCAACCUCCUGUACCUAUCGAUAUCCCAAUUGAAGAUCUAGAAAGGAAUAUGGCACAGAAGUCACCUUCUAGCAGUGUAGCUAAGCAACCUCCUUUACCUAUCGAUAACCCAAUUGAAGAUCUAGAAAGGAACGGGGCACAAAAGUUGCAUUGUAGCAGUGCAGCUAAGCAGCCUCAUGUACCUAUUGAUAACCGAACUGAACAUUCAGAAAGGAAGCCAACAAGAGAUGAAAAGACAACAGCAGCCACAACCUAUGGUCUACAAUCUGCUCCCAGUACUUCGCGCACACUUGCGUACCAACCUUCGCCUAGAAGGCCAGUGCGACCAGGGCGUGCUUUGCAGUCCCAUAUAUCGAUUAUGGUAGAAAUGUCUUGAAGUGCAGCAAGGUUGCAAGCCACGCAUAUGAUGCGGUAUGCUCGGCCACUAGAAGGUCAACCAGAAGUUUGAGUCAAAGCUCAAGCCAAGGAGAGUAUGUGCAACUUUUUCUUUUGCUAGUUUUUUCUGCCCAUUAAACUACAAAUUCAUUUUGUAUUUGUUUUUAACUAUGAUUCAUCCAUGUUGUACGCAGCGAUAUCAUAAUCAGUUAUCUAGAUUACUAUAUGAGCUUGAAGCACCUUUCUGAAUCAGUUAAACCAGAUGGAAAAUUAUUCAACACAGUAGCUGAAAUUGCUAUAUAUGCAUUAAAAGACAGAAAGGCCAAGAUUCCUGUAAAACAAAUACUCCCACUAAGAAUUGUUGUGGGAAUUCCUCCUUUUUUACUUACUGAUGUUUCUAAUUUGUAUGCAUAUUUUUUCAAACAGAAAGGCCAAGAUUCAUGUAAAACAAAUACUCCCACUAAGAAUUGUUGUGGGAAUUUCUCCUUUUUUACUUACUGAUGUUUCUAAUUUGUAUGCAUAUUUUUUUCAAACAAGCACUUUUUCUGCUUUUGUUUUCUCUAACAUUAUUUUUUAAUUCUCUUUUUUGCAAUCUUUUCUACAAGAUGGGAUUUUGGAUAAUGGGGAGAUAACAAUAGUGCUUUUCAAAGAAGCCUCCAUCACCUAGACCGUUCUCAACUGGUAAUUGAUUGUCCACUUAAUCCUCUUCUUUUUUUCGAAAUAGGCAUUUUAACUAAAUUCAUUAGGCUAUAAUAUUGAUUUGUUUAGGCUAUAAUAUUUUUUAAAUUAUACAAUCUUGGUGUCCUACCAUCAUAACUUUGUUUUGUGUUCUAAAAUUUGUGGAGCAAUCAUAGCAGAUAACAAAAUAUGACAUGUGGUGAUAAGUAUAGCACAAGUGUAGGGCAAAGAACAACAGGUAGUGCCUAUGUUAAAUUGGUCAUAUCUCAAUUUGAUUCGCCACCAUCUUUUUUUAUCUUUUUUUAGAAGUCUGCUAGUUGUUAUAUCGCACAAGCAUUAUGUUUUUUGUGACAUAUAGAUGCUAUGUAGCCUUUUUUGGUUCCUCUUUUUUAAAUCUGGUUUUACUAGCUAUUCUCAUUUUUUGCUAGCAUUUUUUGUAGGUCAUGUUUCCUGUAUUACAAAAUAUUCGUUUCAAAAGGCUUGAUAGAAUAGUGGGCCACUUCUUCCUUCUAGUCUUGAACCUAAGGGAAGAAAGGUUUGAAGUUCUCGAUUCUAUGAGGUCUCUCGCUGACAUUAACUUGAAGACAUGCUGCAACAAUUUGAUUACUGCAAUUAAGGAACUUUGGCACAACCAUUACCCCAAUUCAAGGAAGAAUAUUGACAAGUAUCAAUUGAUUGAUAUUAAUGUUCCAUUGUAGUCAAACAAGUAGGUUAAUAGUUCAACAUACAUAAUAUUUUCAUAUCUAAAGUUUCUGUCAUCCUUCAUAUGAUUAUUGCCUUUUUUUGGCAGUCAUGACUGCGGGUUCCACAUGCUAAUGCAUUGCGAACACUAGAAUGGUAUUAACAUGCCAGAGUUGAAGAAAAAAGAUAUACCAACUAUUGUUGAUAUUUGGGAACGCAAUAAGGAAUUGAUCCGCAAGCGCAUGGAUAUCGGUGAGCACUUCACCCGGGAUGUUAUCCAGAGUAUCGUAUUUAUAUUUUUACCACUAGGAGAAAGAGUGCAUCUGACUAACCCAGUCUAUUACUACUAACCUUUAGGCUACAAAGAAUGUUUCUCGAUGUGAGUGAUAUAUAGAGAAGACUACAACCGUAAUCUCUUUCUAACCUUGGUAAGGAUAAUCUACUGUUCUAUUAGGGAGGCUCACGGAAUCUAGACACCACAGAGGAUGUUCAACCCGCGCCUAUAAACCCUAUCCUUCCUGCUAACGAGAUAUGGUCUACAAAGGUAACUCGGAAAUGUCACGUUCCUCGCUACUACCACGGUCUAGCUAGUCAAGGAAUAUCUAUGAGUAUCCUAGCCCAAACACCACAUCUACGCUAGAGAUGAUUACUCUAAACUCUACACGAAGAGAUUAAAGUAAACUCAUAAACCGAAGAACAAUAAAACAAGAACUUACUAGUAUUUAGAAGUCGAAAUACCGAAGAAUCCUAGGAGCAAGCUUCGGUUUAGGAGAACUUGAUCCCGCAGGUACAACCUCGGAGUAAACACCGACAGGCCGGGCUUCCUCCGAUCUACACCUCCACUCUAUCUCUCUCAAUCAAGUGGAACUUAGAAGAACUAAUUCUACUCACAUUGGAUGCUAAGCCCUAAGUCUAUUUAGAGGAGAGGUUAUCCUUCGAGGGCUCCUCUCAACUCUAUGAUGAACUUGUUCUCCUCCAGGGGCCAGGGGGUCUGCUUAUAUAGUCCCCUCAGGUGAACGUGGGUCGUUGGAUCAAACCGACAUUGAUUGAAUGGUUAUCCUUGAUCCUUUAGGUCAGUGGAGCGUGAUCCGCGAAGUUGGAUGGGAUUGGUUACAACUCCAGGGCUGGCGCCCUAUCCCCAGGCCCGAUCGCCUUCCCGUUCGUUCCCGUGGCUUCUGGAGUCUUCUAGAUGGUAGAAAAUUGCGCGGUGCGUUAAUAUCUCUAUGUAAUCCCGACAUGUGAACCUUUCUUCCUUAUUUCCUGAUAACCCCCUACAGAAACAGAUAAACAACAAAACUCGUGGAAUUCUGUCAGAUCAAACCUUAAUUCUAGGUGUGUUGACGCCGUUUUUGGGCACGUGUCCAUGAUUGGUAAAGUGUAGGUCGGCAAGAUAAGACGGCAGUGCGUGAUCUACAGGGUGAGUUGCCGAUGGAAGGAUGGUUGAACGUGACCAAGUCCAUAGGUGAUGAUGUGUUUGUGCCGAUGGCUAUGACAAAGGAGUCUGCCGAUGAUACGGAGGGAGAACCUGGGAGUUGCCGAUCGGCUUGUGGGGAUGUUCUAGUUUGUCACGUAGGGAUAGUUUUACGUUUUCCUUAGUUACUUAGAUCGUUUUGUACACGGAUUAUGUUUAAAUUUGGGAUUCGAAUUCUAGUCAUGUCUGGUUGUAGCUCUUUGAGCAGGGUAUAAAUGUAGACCCUAGGGCCCUGUAAUGAAUCUAUCGAUCAAUCAAUCAAACUCACAUUUUUACUCAUAUUCCAAGCAUCUACUUUUUCGAUGACUUCGUCAUACUUUUUCCUUUUCAUUACGAGUUCUUAGGAAUUCAUCGACUUAAGCUCGGCGUGUUCUCAAGUUCCGCGUGAAUACCUCUUGGCCGUGACAUCCGGGCGCAUCGCUGUUGUCAGGACCAAAGUAUUCGAGUUACCACCUUUGCCGAUAGUAAGGUCAAAUCGGCUGGCACGCCUUAACGUUUAAAUCGGGUCUUAGCCCUUUGUGUUUGCAGAUCAGCUUUUGCACCAACACAUCUUUUGGCACGCCUGGUGGGACAGAUUCAAGAUCAAGAUCAACAUGUCGACUUCUGAGUUUGAUCAGGAGAACGUCAUCCCCGUGACGGUAGCCAAUCUCAAGGAUGAGCAGAAGCAAGCUAUUGCUAAAGCCAUGGAGGAUUACAAGCAGCAGUGCUUGAGAUCCUUCAGUAUGAACAGGAGCGGCGAAGUGAUCCAGAAAGAUGCACUGCCGACGCCUCGGCAGGUUACUUUUGAAGCCAAUCCUGGUAAACUUCAAGAGAUGGUUGAUAGUGCUAUCAACCGUGCUUUGAUCAACCAAGCUGGUGUACUGUCCAAUACGGUCUUCAAUGCCGUGGCCAGAACCUUCAAGGAAGUACAAUUGCCACCAGAUUAUGUGGGCCCCUCUUAUCACCAGCUAGGGUCACCGGUGGUCACAGCUCCAUCGGCUACCACAACAGCUGUGGGAACACAGACUACCGUUCCUCCAAGCACGUUGGGAGUCACCAAUGCACAAUCUACGCCGAUGACAACCAAUCCACCGACUUCAGAUGAGCAGAUUAAGCUCACUACAGAUCUAUUGGCAUCGGCAAUGUCAGGACUGGUUCCUCCUCCCAACUGGUGGGGUUUUGGUAUGCCCCCGGAAUACUUGAAGACGCCUGGCACAUCUCAGGCAACUGACAUGAGAGGAAAGGCUCCUAUGGCAUCAGCACCUCCUAAUAUGCUGAUGAAUCAAAGCCCCAGUAUACCACUACUACUACUGCAUGUCCGUAUACUGGGAAUUCUCAAGCUCCAACGUUCCAAAUGCCUAACGCAUCGGCAGACUCAAUGCUGAUGCAACAGAGGUCUAUGACUCAACCAGGGUAUGUCAAUUCAAUGAUAAUGCCCAAUUACCAGUCAUCGGCAGGGCCUAUGCCGAUGAAUGCCAAUAGUGGAUGGCUUGGGCAGCAAGUCUUUCCGCAAACGUCCCAAUAGAGUCAUCAGGCUACAGGGUUAGAGCAAGGACAGAUCUAUCCCGGGUUCUAGAAUCAGGGGAUCCCUAACCAGCCGAUGAAUCUCAGGCAGCAGGUCGGCGGACAGCAGAUUGGCGGGCAACAGCUUGGUGGUCCACAGAUUGGGGGCCAAAUGAUUAACCCAAUGUUUCAUGCAGAUCGUGCACCGCACAGACACAUGGAAGCUUACCAGCAGGUGCCGGAUCCGCAACCACCUCAUCGGCAAGAUGCCGAUGCUUAUUGGGCCGAUAAGAUUGCUGAAGUAAUAAGAGACCAAUUCGGGAUAAAACCCAAAGUCAACACUUACUCUUAUCGGACACCGUAUCCUCCCGCAUACGACUUGAUCCCGCUUCCGAAUCGGUACAAGGUACCGGAUUUUACUAAGUUUUCUGGGCAGGAUGACACGUCAACCAUGGAGCACGUCAACAGGUUCAUCAUUCAAUGCGGAGAAGCUGGUAACAGGGACGAGUUAAGGGUUCGCUUAUUCUCGUCAUCGUUGUCUGGAUCGGCUUUCACCUGGUUUAUAUCAUUGCCUCCCAACUCAGUGAUUACUUGGGCCGAUUUGGAGAAACAAUUCCACAAAUACUUCUUUUCUGGGGUCCAUGAAAAGAAGAUCACCGAUUUGGUCAAAUUAAGGCAACGCAAUGAUGAAUCGGUUGAGAGUUUUGUGCAGAGGAUACGGGAGGUUAAGAAUAAAUGCUAUAGCCUGGUUCUGGAUGAUCGGCAGCUAGCCGAUUUGGCUUUCCAGGGUUUGUUGCCACACAUAAGGGACAAAUAUGCAUCUCAGGAGUUUGAAAGCUUAAGUCAUCUGGUGCAGAGAAUCUCUGAUCAAGACAUCAAGCCGUUUGAACCCAAGAGAGCAUGGAAUAAAAAGGUAUCAUUUGUGGAUGAAGCGGCAAGCUCGGACUCUGAUGAAGAACCAGUCAUCGGCUUGGCAGAAUGGGUGAAAAAUAAAAAGCCGAUGUCUUGUCCUUUUGGACAUAAAGAACCAGAGAAGUUCGCGUUUGACACCACUAAGGCCGAUAGGAUAUUUGACUUUCUACUUCAGGAAGGUCAGAUCAAGCUGUCACCUAAUCAUGUGAUCCCAUCGGCUGAAGAAUUAAAAAGGAUGAAAUAUUGCAAGUGGCACAAUGCAACUUCUCACGACACUAAUGAGUGCAAGGUUUUCAGACAGCAGCUGCAAUCGGCUAUAGAGUCUGGGAGAAUCAAAUUUGAUAGUUCCAAGAGCCAGAAGCCGAUGAAGAUCGAUCAACAUCCUUUCCCAACGAACAUGUUGGAUGCUAAGGGAAAGGCCAAGGUCUUGAUGUCGGAAGCAGCUGAAAGAAGUGCAUCGGUGGAUCCUCAGCAUCAGGUCACUACUGCCGAUGCCAAAGGAAAAGGCUUGAUCUAGGAGGGAGCUAACUCAGGAAGGCCUCCCCGAUCUGGUAUUGUGAUAACUCACAGGAGGCCUCGGGAGACUUGGCAGCAACGAGAAGAUCGGUACCGGCGCGAGCAAGAGGAUUAUCAUCGGGAAGAGGAAAGACGCCGACAAGAAUGGAAUCGGCAUAGGGAUCACUGGAAUUGCCCGUUCUUCAUUCAUUGUUGGGAGGAAAAUAUCCAACUUCCCACUGUCAGAGAUUGUCCUGAGUGCAACGGCUAUGAUCGGUAUGACAGAUCCGAUCGACGCUACCACGACGACAAUCGGCGAUCUAAUGGGCCGAUUAGAGGAAGAGCGUCCGUUCAUGAUCGGCUAGGGGUAGGCUCAGCAUGCACGACAGGCUUGGCGAUCGUGUUCAAUAUUUUCCCAGGAACCAGGAAGAACUCGAAGAGAUGGCAAAUGCACGGGUUUCCGAUGAGUUUAUCUUCUGCCGAGAUGCCAAUACUUACCGAAUGGAGUCAGGAGAAAAUCGUCGCCAAUCGGUAAGGCAGCAGCAACUUCCUCCAUGGUGUCCGGAGGGGUUGACCAGGACUCAAAAGAGAAGACUGCAGCGCGAAAGGCGAGAAGAGUUGAGCAAGGGGGAGAACUCUGGACAGUCUGGGGAUCAGCAACAAUCAGAUCCUAAGGGGAAAGGUCCAUCGGCAGAUGUCAACUUGGUAUUUAUAUUGCCGAUGGAGUUCCUGGCACCAUCCAGUGAUGAUGAGGUGGAGUUUUCCGACCAAAUAGCUCAGUUGGCUCUGGAUCCGAUGACGGCUAUCUUCGAGAAGCCCGCCGAUGAUGAAAGGCAGCACCUUAAGGCCCUGUUUGUUAAAGGAAAAGUGGAUAGUCAGCCGAUGACCAAGAUUCUAAUUGAUGGUGGAGCCGCCAUUAAUAUCAUGCCAUAUGCAGUGUAUCGGAAGCUUGGAAAAGGGGAUCACGAUUUAACCAAGACCGAUAUGAUGCUUAAGGAUUUUGAAGGAAAUGUGUCUCCGGUUAAGGGAGCAAUAUGCGUAGAGUUGACCAUCGGCAGUAAGACCUUGCCGACAACCUUCUUCGUGAUCAGUGGAAAGGGUGCUUACAACUUACUGUUGGGAAGAGAUUGGAUUCAUGAUAAUUGUUGCAUCCCGUCUACAAUGCACCAAUGCUUGGUCCAGUGGGUAGGUGACAAGAUUGAAAUAGUCCCAGGAGAUUCUUCUUAUGUCAUUGCAUCGGCAGAGGCAGACACCUACGAAAGGACUAGGUGUAUUUCAGGAGAAAUUUGGGAAAAGGAUUUUCUCAAGGUUGCCGAUUACGAGAUUCCACCGAUCCAAGCCGUCGGUUCUGAUGAAGGUUUUUAACGGAUAGGUUCGCCGAUGAUGGAAAGUUAGGCCAGGGAUUCACAUCGGCCGAUGAUCUAGUAGAAGUAGAUAUAGGUAGUGGUGAUAAGCCUAGACCCACUUUUAUUAGUGCUAAAUUAGGUUCUGAGUGUAAGCAACAGUUAACCGAUUUGUUAAAGGAAUAUAAAGAUUGCUUUGCUUGGGAUUAUACUAAGAUGCCUGGUUUGGACCGAUCAAUUGUUGAACAUCUGUUACCUAUCAAGUCUGGAUUUCGGCCACAUCAGCAACCGGCUCGCCGAUGUAAUCCUAAUAUUCUCCCUGAUAUUAAGGCCGAAAUAACCAAACUUAUUGAAGCCAAGUUUAUUCGGCAGUGUCGGUAUGCCGAGUGGAUUUCCAAUGUUGUUCCGGUCUACAAGAAGAAUGGGAAGCUUCGGGUCUACAUUGAUUUCAGGAAUCUUAACAAAGCUACACCGAUGGAUGGAUACCCAAUGCCAGUUGCUGAUCUGCUAGUUGACGCUGCGGCUGGGCAUCGGAUUAUUAGCUUUAUGGAUGGCAAUGCAGGAUACAAUCAAAUAUUCAUGGCUGAAGAGGAUAUUCCAAAGACCGCGUUCAGAUGCCCUGGUCACGUUGGAUUGUUUGAAUGGAUAGUCAUGACCUUUGGCUUAAAGAAUGCUGGUGCUACUUAUCAAAGGGCCAUGAAUUUUAUAUUUCAUGAGUUCGUCGGCAAGCUGGUGGAGAUUUAUAUUGAUGAUGUGGUGGUUAAGUCUGGAGACUUCACAAAGCAUCUUGCCGAUUUACGAAAGGUGUUGGAGUGCACAAGGAAGCAUGGUUUGAAAAUGAACCCCAAUAAGUGUGCAUUUGGUGUAUCGGCAGGACAAUUUCUUGGUUUCAUGGUGCACCAAAGGGGGAUUGAAAUCAGUAGAAGAUCUAUUGACUCCAUCAAUAAAAUAGUGGCCCCUACCAACAAGACCGAGCUCCAGUCCUUGAUCGGCAAGGUAAAUUUUAUCAGAAGGUUUAUAUCUAAUUUGUCUGGUAAAAUUCGUGCUUUCAGUCCUCUUCUUAAGUUAAAGGCCGAUCAAGAGUUUGUUUGGGGGAAGGAACAGCAGUUGGCUCUGGAUGAAAUCAAGAAUUAUUUAGUGAAUCCUCCAGUUCUAAUUCCACCUCAGCAAGGGAAGCCCUUCAGAUUGUAUUUGUCUACCAAUGGGAUGGUCAUCGGUUUGGCUUUAAUUCAAGAGUUUGAGGGGAAGGAGCGUGUAAUUUAUUACUUAAGCAGAAGGUUGAUUGAUGCUGAGACCAGGUAUUCGGCUAUUGAGAAACUAUGCUUGUGCUUAUAUUUCUCUUGUAUCAAGUUAAGGCAUUACUUGUUAUCGGCCGAAUGCACUAUUAUUUGCAAGGAUGAUGUAGUCCGGUACAUGCUAUCAUGCCGAUUAUGAGUGGCAGGAUCGGUAAAUGGAUUUUGGCGCUGGCGGAGUUCGAUCUGCGUUAUGAAUUGGCUAAGGCAGUUAAAGGGCAGGUUAUGGCCGAUUUUGUAACUCAACAUUGCGGUACAGUGGAGGCUUUGUAAAUUGUACCUUGGACGCUUUUCUUUGAUGGAUCUACAUGUGACCGGGGGGCAGGAAUCGGUAUAGUAUUAAUUUCCCCUCGGGGAAGGAAGUAUGAGUUUUCCUUGCCGAUUGUUGCCACGUCGACGAAUAAUCAGGCUGAGUAUCAAGCUUUAAUAAAGGGAUUGGAAUUGUUAAGGGAAGUUCAUGCUGAUGCUGUCGAGGUCUUCGGAGAUUCUAUGCUGGUUAUAAAUCAAUUGGCUGGAAGCUAUGAAUGCCGAAGUGAAGUUCUCAUAACUUAUUACGAGCGGAGUAUGCAAUUGUUGAAGGAAUUCAAGGAUUUCCGAUUAGAGUAUGUUCCUCGAUUGCAUAAUGAAGAGGCCAAUCGGUUGGCUCAGCAUGCCUUGGGAUAUCAGCCUAUGAUUAAUGCAAUAUCGGCAAUUGGUGCCGAUGAUUGGAGAAAAGAAAUCGUUGAUUAUUUGAAAGAUCCAUCUAAGAAAGUCGAAAGACGAGUUUGGUUUCAAGCCACCAAGUAUGUGCUCCUCGAAGAUGAAUUGUAUUAUCAAACUAUUGAUGGGAUUCUUCUCCGAUGCUUGGGUGAUGAUGAAGCUAAGAGUUUGAUGGGAGAAAUCCAUGAAGGGGUAUGUGGAGCACAUCAGUCGGCUUUUAAGAUGAAGUGCAUGAUUAGGAGGAACGGGUAUUAUUGGCCGACCAUACUUGAAGAUUGCUUUAAAUAUUUCAAGGGAUGUCAAGGAUGUCAAAAAUUUGGCAAUAUUCAAAGAGCACCCGCAUCGGCCAUGAAUCCUAUUAUCAAACCUUGGCCGUUCCGGGGAUGGGCUAUUGACUUAAUCGGUCAGAUUUAUCCGCCAUCUAGCAAAGGGCAAAAGUUUAUCUUGGUUGCCACCGAUUAUUUCACCAAAUGGGUUGAGGCUAUUCCUUUGAAGAAAGUUACCUCGGCCAAUAUGAUUGAUUUUGUGAAGGAGCACAUUAUUUACCGAUUUGGGAUUCCUCAGACAAUUAUUACCGACCAGGGUACUAUGUUCACAUCAGGGGAAUUUGAUGAAUUCGCAAUCGGUAUGGGAAUUAAGGUGUUAAACUCUUCUCCUUAUUAUGCUCAAGCUAAUGGACAGGCCGAGGCAUCUAACAAGGGAAUUAUCAAGCUUAUCAAACGAAAAAUUGAAGAAAAUCCUAAGCGGUGGCACACAUUGUUAAAUGAAGCUUUAUGGUCCUAUCGAAUGGCUUGUCAUGGAUCAACCAAGGUUUCACCUUAUCAGUUGGUGUAUGGACAUGAUGCAGUGUUGCCUUGGGAAAUUAAGGCUGGAUCUAGGCGACUAUCUUUUCAGGAUCAAUUGGCUGCCGAUGAUUAUGCUACUUUGAUGACCGAUGAGUUAGAUGAUCUAGUAGGACAUCGGUUAAAGGCUUUAAUGAGUAUAGAAGAAAAUAAGAAGAGAUUUGCUAGAUGGUAUGAUAAGAAAGUAAAGGCUAAGGAAUUUGCUGAUGGAGACUUGGUAUGGAAGUUGGUCUUGCCGAUCGGGACUAAAAGUUCAAAAUUUGGGAAGUGGUCUCCCAAUUGGGAGGGUCCCUAUCGGAUAAGUUUGUCGGCUCCUGGUAAUGCCUAUAUUCUAGAAAUUCUCAAAGGAGUUGAAUUUCCCAGAGUAUUAAAUGGCAAAUAUCUGAAAAAGUACUACCCAAGUAUAUGGGUCGAUGCAUAAAAAGUUUAAAUGCCGAUAACACUCCUAUCGGCUAGAUUGAAAUGUAUCUGGGGCCGGACUUAAUGUUUCAAAAGAUGCCGAUAACAGUCCUAUCGGCUAGACUAAACAACAAGAGAGCUGGAAAGUGCAGAGGGGCAAGGAUGUGUUGCCGAUGAAGGGUUCAUGUGUUCAACAGCGCCUGGAUCGCCGAUAUGGCGCGCAGACGAAUCUGGUUGGCUUCCUCUAUCUCCUUCACGUCGUCAUCGGCAGAGCCUUCCACCGGCUUCAGCUUCUUUUUCAUCUGCAGUGCCUUGCGGCCAUGGGUGUUUUGUUCUUGCUCGAGAAGCUUAAUUGUCUCUGGCAGUUGGCUUUCUUCUUGUCGGGCUUGGGACAGGGCAUCCUCUACUUGUUUAAGUUCUGCCAACAAAGCUUACCUUUUUGCCGACAAAUCAGAGAUUUUGUGCUUCAGUGCAUCUCCCGAGGACUUCAAGGUGCCGAUGAUCUUAUGCUUUUCAUCGGUAAGAAGUUUUUCUUUCAUCAUCUCCUCAGAAAGACGAGUCUGAGCGGUUCUGUCGGCAAGGUGCUGGGCAGCCCUCUGGUACUGCAGUUGACGGCUCUCCAGGUGUGCUGCUUGGAAGAGAACUUCUUCAGCAUCGGCGGGGAUUUGGCAUCUCAGGGUCUUGAAUAAAGCCUUGGCUAGAUCAGAAUCAUUGACUAGCUGGGCUGUGUCUUGGUGGAGCAGAGCUGAUAAUUCUUCUAGCUUUGCCCUGACUUCUGCCGAUGUGAUCCCAACUGCCCGAGAAGAGCUUGCUUCUUCGCCUUCAUCUUCAGAAAUGUCGAUGGCGAAAGAAAAUAGUCUGUCGGGAGAGUCCUGUUCCUGAAGAAGAAAAUAAAGUGAGUCAUUCUAUGGUCAGAGCAUCGACAAAUAAUACUGAUGGAGAUUGGAUGGCUUACUUGCUUCAAGGCAAUCUCUCGCCUUUGACUGGAAGAUGCCGAUGGAGCCACGGGUUGAUUGGCCAGAGUUGCCGAUGGAACUACGUCAGCUGAAAAUUAACAGAAGGGGUUAUAAGGCCAAAAAAGAAUAAGUUCAUCGGCAGUAAUGUUAUAAAAAUGUGUUACCUUGAGGAAGAGCAGUGCUUGUCUGGACGGAAGAGACCACCGAUGCUAUAAUGGAACCUGCUAGAUCGGUAGUUUGUUCAUGCACAUCAGCCGAUGUGUCUUCUGGUUGAGGUACUUCUGGUUGAGGCUUUUCUGGUUGGGGUUCUCCCACUUGUGGUGCUUCUUGCAUUGGAGGGGGAGAUGGCACUUGUUGCAUCUGGGCUUCUAGAGGAGAAGGAGAAGAUUCCACCGGGAUUGGAGAUACCGGGGGAGGAGAAGGCGUUGCUACUUUUUGGCACUUUGCUUGUGCCCUGGUACUCUUGGCACCUUUUCUCUUCUGCUGGCUGGACUGGGGGGCAUCGGCACCUUUGCUUCUGGUCUUUGCCGAUGCGCCGGUCUGAUGAUAUAGAAAAGAUUUAUGAGUACAAGUGUGGCAGAUGUAAAAUAAGAAUCGGUAUGAAUGAAAAGGUUUAACAAUUACCUUGAACACCUGUGCCAAGGUGGAAGCAGCUACCGAUGGAGAUAUCUGAGUCCUCCUAGUGGUGACCUUCUUGAGGCGUACACCUCGAUGCAUGAUGGCGGCCAGGGUAGGAGCGUUGUUGCCGAUUGAGGAGAUUGGGCCUGAUGGAAAUAGGUCAAUCGGCUUGCCACUCCUGCUGACCGAUGGAGGGGUGUUGUCAACCUGCAAGAUGAUGCAAAGGUAAAUCGCCGAUGGAAGUAAAAAUGAUAAAAUUGAAACAUCAGUUCGAAGAUACUUACAGUGUCAUCGGGAACUUUGUACUCGGGGUCGAUCAUGCCGCGAUACGUGAGAGCCGAUCUGCAGAACAGAUGUUCCUUCCAUUCUGCCCACCAUUGCUUGUAUGCCUGAGUGAUGAAGGCGGCUGGAACCCACUCUGAUAGGUCUACAUCUGUAUUGGCACUUGAUGGCAAUUGGGCUACUCGAAUCCAUUCAAGGAGGCUAGUGAUGGUUUCCCUAGGUUUUAUCACAUUGGCAUAACAGAGUGCAAUCGGCAGCCGGCCGAAAGCUAAUUGACAAGCUAAUGCCGAUGGAUUAUAAAACUCAUAGGUCUGGAUGAAGGUUUUCCCACUACCAAUGAAAUUCACUGGUAUAGCUCUGGGAGUAACCAGUACCAUCUUCACUUCAUGAUCUGUGUCAAGAGCAUCAUUGAAUGGGUUGAAAACCAUAGGAAACAUGGUGUCUGGAUCGUCAUAAGCCAACCAUGCUCGCUCCUCUCUGGUCAAGCCUUCAUACAAGGUUUGGAAGAAUCAGCUAACCUGGUCUGCAUUACCCCCUGUACCAGGUAGAACUUUGACAGCUUCACCGAAGUUUAGGGGAGGGCGUGUUGCCGAUUCUUCUUCAUCCAGUUCAUAGUUCUCGGCUAUGUCCCUUGGAAAAUGUUGUGCAAAAAGGUCAAACUCAAGACGUUUGUGCAUAUGGAGACUGAGCCACAUGUUGAUGAACCACCAGGGGCCUCCCAAGUUGCCGAUAGACUGGCCGAGUAGGAGUUUCCUAGUCACUUGGUGGAGGAGGUGGUAGGCUGCACCUAGCAGGUAUCGGCCGAGGGGAAAUCGGCCACCACUAGCCAAAUUUUCUGCUGCUGCUAGAUAAACGGAAGUUGGUCCUGCCGAUCGGCCACAAAACACGAACUUAUCUAACCACAUGUUCAGGAAGCUGGUCUGCUCCUUUAUGUUGACAGGGCCUGUUCGUCUGUACUUUUGGAUGUACCCUGACCAACCGCCGAUGGAGCGAAUUUCUACCUUAGCACUGGGUUUGGUAUUGAAGAAAUGAGUACUAUCGGCAGAAGUUACAUCUAGGCCAGUGAGCAUAGCUACAUCGGCAAGAGUAGGGGAAGCAGGGCCAUGGCCAAAGACAAAGGCGUUGAGCGUGUCUGACCAGAAGUAUGAUGCAGCUAUCAGCAAUGACUCAUUUCUAUGCAUAUCGGCAAUAGACAGCCUGGUGCAUUGGUCUAGUUUUCUCUCGCCCCACUACACUUCAUUUGAGUGGCUGACCCUCAAGAACCAAUCCGUCCAUCCCAUGGUAGGACUAGGCCAAGAACGGAAAGUAUCCUUCCAUAGAUCCAAAGAGAAGUUUUUGGCUCUAAAAGGGAUCCUGUUGGUUUCUGCGUUAAUGAGGUCGGUUGGAUCUGGAUUCCCUAACGGACCAAGGCAUUGGAGGUGUGGUUGAUCGGUGGGGAUGACAAUUUUGUUGGACAAAUCCUAAUGGUUUUGGGUAUAUAAGGAAGAACAAGAACAAAAAUAAAAAAGGAAAAUAUUCAGUAAAAUGAAUUGCAGAUGAACAGGGAUGCGAGGAAAAGCACAAAAGGUGGGAUGAAGAACUAACCUCAGGAACGGUGAAGUUGAUGGCCAUCUCGUCACAAGGAAGAUGAUCUAGGGCUUCGGAGUUGGUGAAGCAGGGGCUUCGUUGGAGAUCUUGGAGCUCUUGAACAGCGCCGCCGCUAGGAAAGUGGAGGUAGAGUUGUGGAAUGAUGUGAUGGGGAAGGCGUAUCCGUGAAAUCCAAGGGUACUCAGGUAGAUAUGGUAACUGUUCGCACGGUAAUCAAGGGAUUGUGUAGGCGAUUUGAUAGGAAGCGGUCAUUAUCCAUAGAUAUUUCACUGUGCGAGAUCUCCUGGUCGGUCCAUCGGCAGCGCCUUGUAACAGUCAUAUUGCCGAUGGGCGAGUAACGUGGAGAUAGCCGUUUGAGAGGAUAAGAUAUGGACGUCCAUCGGCAAGUCCCUGUAACGGUAAUAUUGCCGAUGUGCGACUAAGGUGGAAAUGUCCGUUUGGGGAGGUUGAGGAUUUCGAGGAAUCUGCAGAGGAAUAGGAUCAGAGUUGUUUAGAUUAAGGCUGUCGGUUACCAGAUUGGGAGUAUUAAUUGCGGAAAGGCAUCAUUACUGCAGAGAAUUUUGGAGCAUUAAUGAUUUCGUACUCCGAAAUUGGGGGGCAUGUGUUGACGCCAUUUUUUGGCACGUGUCCAUGAUUGGUAAAGUGUAGGUCGGCUAGAUAAGACGGCAGUGCGUGAUCUACAGGGUGAGUUGCCGAUGAAGAUGGUUGUCGAUGGAAGGAUGGUUGAACGUGACCAAGUCCAUAGGUGAUGAUGUGUUUGUGCCGAUGGCUAUGACAAAGGAGUCUGCCGAUGAUACGGAGGGAGAACCUAGGAGUUGCCGAUCGGCUUGUGGGGAUGUUCUAGUUUGUCACGUAGGGAUAGUUUUACGUUUUCCUUAGUUACUUAGAUCGUUUUGUACACGGAUUCUGUUUAAAUUUGGGAUUCGAAUUCUAGUUGUGUCUGGUUGUAGCUCUUUGAGCAGGGUAUAAAUGUAGACCCUAGGGCCCUGUAAUGAAUCUAUCGAUCAAUCAAUCAAACACACGUUUUUACUCAUAUUCCAAGCAUCUACUUUUUCGAUGACUUCGUCAUACUUUUUCCUUUCAUUACGAGUUCUUAGGAAUUCAUCGACUUAAGCUCGGCGUGUUCUCAAGUGUCGCGUGAAUACCUCUUGGCCGUGACAUCCGGGCGCAUCGCUGUUGUCAGGACCAAAGUAUUCGAGUUACCACCUUUGCCGAUAGUAAGGUCAAAUCAGCUGGCACGCCUUAACGUUUAAAUCGGGUAUUAGCUCUUUGUGUUUGCAGAUCAGCUUUUUCACCAACAAGGUGUUGUUUGCAUAUUGGUCCUUUCUCUUGUUUAUUUGAUAAUUAAAAUUGAUACUUAAGAACCGUCAACAAAUACCCCCAUACUUAGGCUUUUACUCGUCCUCGAGAAAAGGAUGGUUAAGAAAAAUAUCUGGGGUUAAAACAUUGUGAAACAUUUUCUUCAUCCUGCAGGGUGUUGUAAAAAUUCAAUGUGUACCGUAGUCAGGGAAAUAUAUGAUUAAGAGUAGAGAUCCUUUCUUCCUUUCAAUCCCGUUACUUGGAGUUUUUGUAUAUUUCGAAAAGAAAUUUAGCAUACCUUUAUCCUCAUAGGUUCUCUCAUAUCACUCAUUUAUCUUUUAUAUAUCUCACUGAGGCUGUUUUAAUUUGCAAAAAAAAAUCUCAAGCAUACUUUUAGAUCAAAGACUUUGGAAAUUAAAAACUUGUCAACUCUUGCUGGCAUAUUGCUUAUUAGAGGGACCAUGGGCUAUCAUUUUCUUCUCUCUCUCUUUUUUUCAGGUGGAUACCGAGGUACCCCUAAUUCUACUGCCGGACACUUGUCCAUUUUUUCUGCGAGGUUAUCGAGCGUUUGCUCCUUUUUAUUUCCUCGAAAUAUCUUUAUUUUUGCAUAGCCCAUGCCUCUAACGCAAUAAUACUUCGGAAGAGUGAAUCUUUCUGAAUAAAUGUCUUGAUCUUAGGAGCAUGAUAAAUCUCUCUACAAGGGUCUAACUCAUUUUGAACAAACUCAAUACAGAGUAGAUAGCUUUUAUAAUUAUCAUGUUAAAUUUUCAGGUUUAUCAGGCAUAUAAAACACUGAAGAUGGUAGCUAGAAUUUUUGAAUAAAUUCUCCAAGCAACAAUGAUAUCAAGAAUAAGAAACUCAUACUCUACCAUCUCACAUUCCACAAUGACUUAAGUAACACAGGGUUUUAAAUUGAUUUUUCAAUAAUUGCAGGUUUUCAGGAAAUAUCACAAAGUGAGAUUAAUCAUGAUUAGAAACAUUUUAAUCUUUUUAAUUUAUCAUGUCGGAGACAAUAUUCUACAUAAUCCAAGAUAUGUGUAUGUGUAAAGUAUGCAGAGUAUGUACCUGAAUCGUGGAGUGGUGUAGUCGAAGUGUGUUUAGCGUGUCGAGGGAUCUCCCCCAUACUUGUUUUCUGCUUUCUUGCAUAAAAGUAAAGUAGAGACACACAAGACAUAAUAAUAAUAAUAAUAAUAAUAAUAAUAAUAAUAAUAAUAAUAAUAAUAAUAAUAAUAAUAAUAAUAAUAAUAAUAAUAAUAAUAAUAAUAAUAAUAAUAAUAAUAAUAAUAAUAAUAAUAAUAAUAAUACUCUUUAUUAAUGUCGGUGUUUUCCCCACGGGGGGUCACACCAACGAGUGAAUUUGUAUGCGUGCUCCCUUUCCCAGAUGGUGAUGCAAAAAGACACAAGAAUUUAUCCUGGUUCGGGCAAGAGAAGGCCCUACGUCCAGCGGGUGGGAGAGUUUGUAUUAUUUUGCACCUAAGUGCUUGUACAGGGGUGAAUACAAGCGUGAUAUGAAAUGAAGUGGAGUAUGGAAGUACUACUGCGUGUGGGUGUAGUGUUACGUGAUGUCUUCCUCUGUGUUCGCUCCUGGGCUCCCCCUUUUAUAGUUCCAAGGAGAAGCCCAGGGUACAAGUAUAGGCGUCAGAGUAGGGGUCGAUAGAGGUAUGGCGCGCGGACCUACUCGAGGCCUCCGUACCGGCGUGGUCUCGAGCCGUCCCGUCCUAGUAGCUUGAUGAUGAUCACGCGUGCCCUUGUAUCCCGUUCUGUGCGCUGUCUUGGAUUGGUUUAUCUGCCGCACGCCUGUACGUCAUGGCGGCUGAUACGUCGGAUUGGUUGCAGUGUUGUCAGUCGACGCCCAACCAUUCCCCAAGAAGGAAACAUGCCUGGUCGAGGAUCGGGCGCCGUGUAGCGCCUUGUUGCCCAAAGCGUUGACCUUGGGUGUCUUGAGGGGGUCCUGAUUAGACGUUCCAUCCCUGCUUCCCGCGUCCUGACACGCUCUGGGUCGUUUUGUGGGGAAGGCUGCAAAAAGAAUGAUGGGACGGGUGCCUGUUCCCUAUCACGCUUCCCACGACUGGCGUGUUAGGUGAGAAAGCGACAAGCGCAUUAAAUGCCCUGGUUCCCGUGCGCGCGUCAGGCGGCGGGCGGCGUCCUUGCGCUCGACGCCUCUUGAUUCGGUCGAGCCUGUUUCCGUAUUCGACGGUAGUUGGCGCUCGAGCCCUGAUCGGUUCGCUCGACGCCUUUUCCGUCUUCGAGGCUGCGGUUGUCGAUGACUGUACGUAUGACUGACUAGAGCGUCGAGUUGAGGGCCUCAACCUGCGUACGGGUAAUCUUAUUAUGUGCAUCAGUUAGGAUACCCCUUACUGAUACCCUCGACAGUAGCCCCCGAGUCUCCAUUUGAGCGCUGGCGCUUGAGUGGAGGCUUUAUUUUGCGGUCGAAUUUUCGUGGGGGCGCGCGAGCGACCCCGCGGGGGUAGCCCCCGAGCCCUUGGAGGAGUUUUUUACUCCUUCGAGGGUUAUAUCGCCUAUUUUGCAGAGACACUGUCGACACCAGUGGUGGAAGGUUCUGAUUGGCUUGCUCUACACGGGGGUUUCGACGUACUCUCGAUAGAGCGAGCGUCAUCCACCCUAGAUUGAGCUCCUAACGGGUAGUCCAAGUGAGAACCUGUGCCCCUUUCGAGGGGGUCAGCUGUAGCCCGGAGGCCUUCUCAUAAAGCGGGGUCGAUGUGGUCGGGGAUGCUGGUCUCGUUCGAUAGAGUCCAGUGGCUCGAUGCCUAUCGUCGGGGGGAUUCCUCUCGACUGUCUCGACCCUACCUUGGACAUCCCCAGCGAGUUCUCAAGGCGGACCUCGAUUUUUCGACCGCUCGCUGGGCAUCCCUGACUCUGGUGGACCUCGAGAUCGGCUGUCGAACCCUUUCGGCGGGUCAGCCUGCAACCUCUCGAGGCUUUCAUGGGUGCGUUCCUUGGCUUACAAGGGAAGGAAGAGGCCGUGGCGGUUCGCCUUUUUUGCCCGUUGGGCGCGCCUUUUCAGGCGGGAGCCGUUGCGACACGGUACCGGUGCAGAAUUCGGAACGUCCCAUCUGUGAGGAGGAAAAAGACCGUUAGGCGGCGCAUUUAUGGGGAGUUACCUCAUUUAUCGGAUCUGUCCGUUGGUGGGUUGCUGCCUAUAAAUAUCCCAUGGCCUUGCCGCCGUUCUCCCUUCCGUCUUCUUCAUUCUUGCCUUAGCCCUCUCGCCGUCUUAGCUCUCUUGCCAUCUCGCGCGCGCGCGCCUCCUCGAGCGGUCGCGAAUCCACCCUCCUUUCGUCCAAGAUGCCUGUGAGACUCGUCGCCGCCGACGACUGGCGCCCGUCGUUGAUGACAGAGCGCCAGUUGUUGGAGCUCGAGAGGGAGGGGCUCCUGCGCCACCGCACGUCGCUGUCGUCGCCGGAGUGGAUCGCGCCGCCAGCGGACCACCGGGAGCCCAGGCUGCCCAAGGGCUAUGUGGUUUCGUUUGCCAAGUUCCACCGCCACGGCCUGGGCGCUCCUCCGAGCCGCUUCAUGCGGGCGCUCUGCCACCACUAUGGGGUGGAGCUCUAGCACUUCUUCCCAAACGCCAUCACCGUCGCGGCAGUCUUUGCCGCGGCGUGUGAGGGCUAUUUGGGGAUGAUGCCCCAUUGGGAGAUGUGGUUCCACCUCUAUAGGGGCGAGCUCUUCAAUGCCCCCACGGGGACCACUGGCGUGAGGAAGCCUGUGCGGGCGGGAUGCCUCAACCUCGUGCUGAAGACGGGGAAGACGGAGAGGCCGCGCGAGUACAUCCCGGUGGGAUUGUCGACGAACCACGCCGGAUGGGACUCCCAGUGGUUCUACCUGAGGAACGACGACGAUCUCCUACCCGCCUACACCGAUCGUCUGAUCACGGAGCGCCCGGAGAACUGGACGUACGGCGUCGUCCAAGUCCACCAGUCGCGGCUCGACCCCCUCCUCUAUGCCUUGAAGAAGUUGCGCGUGGAAGGCUUGACCGCCGCUCUCGUCCUCUCGGCUAUCCAUCAUCGGAGGGUUCUCCCAUUGAUGUCUCGGCCACUGAGGAUGGAUGAGAUGGGCCCUGGCGUCUCGUCCCGGGACCUCGAGGCGUGCCGAAUGUCGAACGAGGCUCCAAUCGAAGCACGUCAAUGGCUUCCCUAUGAGGCCUGAUGAGGGGUCAAUCGAUCUGGUAAGUUUUCUUUCUGCUCGUGGCUUUGAUUCUGGAUUUCUUUCGUCCCUUCUUUAAACUUGACUUUAUUCUGGCAGGGACAAAUCGAUGUUCCGUCCUCGAGGCCUUCAGUAAAGGAGGACGAGGUCGACCAUGACAAGCGGCGCCAGUCUACCGAGAAACAAAAGUCCGCCAAGGACUCUUAAAAGAAAGGGAAGAAAAAGAAGAACCUCGACCGCCAAGCGCUAGAGGCGUGUCGAGCUAAAUCCAGGCAGAGGGGGGAGCCUGAAGAAGAAUCCCCCAGUGAGGAUGACGGUGGAGACGGUGAUGACGACAGCGACGACUCCGAGGGGAUGGCGUCUCGCCUUGACCGAAUCCUCGAGGGUCCGCCUCGAGGCGACGUCGACGCCCCCCGGACGGGAGCACCAAAGGAGGGGCCAGGCGGAUCUCACCGCCCCCGCGCUGACACCCCUCCCGCGCCUGCGCCAAGUCAGGUCGUCCCGCCCCACCAGCCUCCCCCUGCACCAAAGGCGGGUGGCCGGGCUAAGCCCCAAGCGCCGGGGCCGUUGACCCGUGGCUGCGCCGCGGCCUCCGACAAGGGGGACAGUGGCCGCAGGAGCGUUAGCCCCGGCGCCCGCCAGGUGGGAGACGCUGGAUCAAGGCCUGCGCCUAUCCGUGAGGGGCCUGGGGUCUCGACGCGGGGUGGUUCGAGGCCCACCGGUCGAGGUACCGGCAGGCGAGCCGUUCUUCCUGUGGGGUAAGUUCUUCGACGCUGUGAUUCUUAUUCUCCUGAUUUUUGCGUUUUCUCGUAUAACGUUCUCCUUUAUGCCUGUUCCUCUUUCCUUAGGUUGAAGCGGACGCUUGAGCAGGCCCAGCCUUCAAUGGCGAAAAGGCUCAAUGUGGGAGCGGCCUCCAAGGACUCAGGUUAGUAGCUUAUUUAUGGGAUUUGUGUUGUUCUUACGUCGGCCACCAUAGUGACUGACCUUCGUUUUGCAUUUCAUAGGCUCCUCCGACCCUCAACCACCAACUGGCACUGAGAGCGACCCGCCCCGUCCCCUGGCGGGUGAGUCUGCCCCGUCGUCGCCAAAACAAGCUGAGGCGCCUCGGCCCCAAGGGCAGGCGGGAGCCCCCGAGCCUCCCCGAUCAGGGGUCGAGGGGGAACCUAUUACCAUAAGUGAUGGGUCUAGCGGCGACGGGACCUCGAGGGUGCCCGCCCUAUGGACGAGGAGGCCCCGACUUUUAUUGUCGCGGGACGGACGCCCUGGCCUGCCGGUCUUCGCUCCAUCGAGGAGCAGAAGAAGAAGAAGGAGGAGGAGCGGGAGCAAGAGACGCGGCGGCAACUGCAGGAGCAGGAACGUCGACAGGAGCCGCAGGAGCUCCAAGAGCAGCAGCAGCAGGGGGGCCAGCAGCUGGUGGAGCCGCUUGAUCCGCCCCAACCGGAGCUGGAAGUGCCGCAGGAACCUAGAAACCAGGAGGGGGGCCUGCCGGCUUUUGGACCUCCGACCCCGGCGUGGCUCUGUCCGGGGACGCCCGCCGCGAUCCCAGCUGAGUCAGGGCGGGCGGACGGCGUAGUGGCGCUCGCCUGCAUGAUGUGCACUCCCGCCGACCCUAAUUCUGAGAUCAGGAGGACGAUCUACGGUAUGGACGGGAUCGCGCCGGGGUUCCUCCGAGGGCGUCGAUCGUGGGAGGAGCGCGUCCCCUCCGAGGAAGAUGAGAUCGGGACAUCGGAACACGGUGGUGGGAUCAAGACAGGGACGUGGAAAACGGUGGAUGAUGAUGGGUGGUUCCCCUCUCUCGUUGACCUGUUCCUGCGCCAUGGGGGGUCUCUCGAAACCGUCGAGAAGCUCAUCCGAGGCGUCAAGGCGCGCGCCGACCAGGAGAUGGAGAACUGGUGUCCCGACCGGAUCCGCAUCUGGGCUUCCACCGACCCGUCCGAACCCAACAUCUUUUUGAACGACCGGAAGGAGGCAGAAAAGUGGGAGCACGUCGAGGAGCUCCGCUUGUGGAUGAAGCACACGGUGGGGCUCCUAUCUGACGUGGUUAACAAUGGGCUCGCGUCGGCUUACUUUGUAAGUGUUUUUUAGCCCUUAAUCCUUUUAGAGCGUUUGGUUUUGUGUUCUAACUAUUCGACCACUGGCUCACGGGACCUAAAAGAGACCUCCCGUAUCAAGUCGAGCUUCAUCCACGCCACGAGAGGCGGCUAGGAGCAGCUCCCCAUCCUCAAGGACCAACUCCUGGAGUCACAGGAGAAACUCCUCAAGGCUUAUAAAGAGCUCUUGGCGCUCGAGGAGGAGAAGAAGGAGAGGGAGGAUGCCCUGGUCGAGGCUCGAGAGGCCUCAAGGAAGGCUGUGGAAGAGGCCGUGCUGCUAAGGGAGCGGACUCUGACGGUCGAGGAGGCCGCAUCUAAAGCCUGGGAGGAGGCCCUGUCCUAUAAGAACGCCAUUGCUGACCUGGACAAGGAGAGGGGUCUCCUCAAGACCGACCUGGACUCCAUCUGAGAGUCCUUCCAGAGGAUGAAGGUGGAGUGUGUGAACAGCGGAAUUGCUAGGAGCGCCGUGGAGGAAGCAAAGAAGAAGGCCCUCGAAGACCUCGAGGUGGAGCGGGCUCGAUCCCGCAGCCUCUCCGACGACAUCGACCGUCUGAAGGGCGAGCUGCUGGAGAAGAAUGGAGCCAUCGCUCAGGCUGGCAAGGCGAUCGAGGAUCUGUGUGUUGCCAACACUGAGCUGGCGCGCUCCAACAAAGAGAUCGAGAGGGCCAACACUAAAUUAGUUGGCGAGAACACGGCUCUGGAGAAGAGUGUCCGUGGUACGUUUCUAUUGUCGAGUUUUCUUUUCGAGGUGUGCUUGGUUUUAUCUAAAGUUUUUUGCGUUGGCAUUCACAGGGCUUAAAGACGAGCUCUUAGCCGCCCAAGUCGAGGCUCGUAACGCCAAGGCCCAGCUCUAGGGGGAGGUUGCUUUGAACUGUCGACUGCGGACGGCGAUAAGCGAUCUCUCGACCUCUUGGGAGGUCGAGCCCAUGGACGAGUCGAAGGAGGAAGCUCGAGGCGACGCGCUCGUCGACCAGCUAUGCUAUCUUGGAGCUACGCUGAGGGACCCGGUGCGGGACGCCCUCCACGUCGGGGUGAAGCGGGCGAUGGCGGUAGUCUGCUCAGGCUUCUCCUACGACAUGGAGGUGGUGUCCCACGGCUUCGUCACCGACAUCUCCAAGACUGACGCGGAGAACGAGGAGAGGCUCCACGCCUUGAUCGACGACACAGAGGUUCCUGGAGAGAGGUUGGCUAAGCUGUUCGAGCCAGAGGUACUGCCUCCUGAGACUAGCUCAGGCGCGGGUGAGGAUGGCGAGGGCCGAGACGCUGACUGAGGCCUGCGAGCCUACUCUGGGUGCCUGGGCCCCUUGUAUAGUAUUUUCUAGUUUUACCUUAAGUAACAUUGCGCUUUUAAGUGACUUGAAAGAUCUUGUGAAUGUUUAUCUGUCUUUCCACUCGAGGCUGUUUUGUUUCUUUUACGCCUACGUUCGUAUUCCUUGUUUAGUCUUUUGUUUAAGGCGGUCUCGAUCGCCUCAAGGGUGAGGAAGCGAGUAGAGUUUCCAUAGCCCGGGGGCAUAGGAGUUCUCAGGCUCGUUGUUCUCUCGGCCCUUAAGGGGCUCGAGGUGCCUUAACUACUCGACUGUGCAGGGUUUACUAAGUAGGGACGAAAAAAUUCCUUAGUUUUUCCGGUGCUUGGGGGGGUCCCCUGCUGGUGCUUGGGGGGGAUCCCCCUGCUAGCCCCCGAGGGAGUAUCGAAUAUGAUGUGUCAUAUUUGGUACUCCUUUCUAACGUCUAGGCUUUGACCCGUAAAAAAUUACUCGAGGGAAAGAUCUCAUCAUUUACGCAUUCAUUCAUAAGGCUUUGAUACAGAAUCUACAUGGGAACAUAAAGCCUUGGAGUUCUAGCGGUAGAAUCGACGUAGCUGUUCGAUGUUCCAUGCGUUGGUGAAGAUCGCGCCUUUUUCGUCCGCCAGCUUGUAUGUUCCUGGCUUCAAGACCUCGGCCACCACGUAUGGGCCCUCCCAGGGCGGGGUCAGCUUGUGGCAUCCUUGAUUGCUUUGCCGCCGUCGUAGGACGAGGUCGCCCACGUUUAAGUCCCUCUUGCGCACGUGCUUGUCGUGGUAGCGUCGAAGUUUCUGCUGGUAUCUGGCAUAGUUGAGGAGGGCCAUGUCUCGAGCUUCCUCGAGUUGGUCGACCACAUUUUCUUGAGUCUCCUUAUUUGAUUGCUCAUUGUAUGCUUUGAGUCGAGGGGACCCAUACUCGAGGUCUGUCGGGAGCACAGCCUCAGAGCCAUAGACCAUGAAGAAUGGGGUGUAUUUUGUGGCCCUGCUUGGCAUAGUCCUUAAGCUCCAUAGGACCGAGGAAAGCUCCUCGACCCACUUCUUGCCGAACUUCUUCAAGCGAUUGUAGAUCCUUGGCUUGAGCCCUUGCAAGAUCAUGCCGUUGGCACGCUCGACCUGGCCGUUAGUUCGAGGGUGGGCCACUGCAGACCAGUUCACACGGAUCUGAUGUUGAUCGCAGAAGUCCAAGAACUUCUUGGCGGGGAACUGAGUGCCGUUGUCAGUGAUGAUGACGUUGGGAAUCCUAAACCGAUGGAUGAUGUCAGUGAAGAAAAGGACGGCCUGUUCGUAGCAGAUGUUGGUGAUGGGUCGAGCCUCGAUCCAUUUGGAGAAUUUGUCGAUGGCCACCAACAAGUGGGUGUACCCCCCUUUUGCCUUUUGUAGAGGCCCCACUAGGUCGAGCCCCCACACCACAAACGGCCAUGUGAUAGGGAUCAUCUAGAGAGCGUGGGCAGGCAGAUGCGUCUGUUUGGCGUAGAAUUGGCACCCAUGGCCUGAGCGUACGAGCUCGAUGGCAUCAGCUACGGCUGUUGGCCAGUAGAAGCCUUGUCGGAAGGCGUUCCCUACGAGGGUCCGAGGAGCAGCAUGGUGGCCACAAAACCCUGAGUGUAGGUCCUCGAGGAGCUUUUGGCCUUCUUCUAUGGUGAUGCAACGCUGCAAGACCCCCGUCGGGCUUCGUCGAUAUAGCUCAUUGCUUUCGCCAUAGAUUACAUAUGACUUGGCCCGUCGAGCAAUACGGCGAGCCUCGGAUCGAUCUUCUGGUAGCUUGCAGCGGAUUAGGCAGUCGAGGAACGGCGUGCGCCAAUCAAACGGUUGACUGGGCCGCUGUUCCACCUCCAUUACCUCAGCUGCCAAUAGAAGCGUUUCGACGGUGUCGGUUUGCUGGGCAGGAGCGGCUUUGACGCCAGCAUCCAGGCCCAAGUUGACGGAUGGCUCAUGUAGAUCUCUUGAGAACGCAUCAGGUGGCACCGUGCCUCGAGUCGACGCGAUCUUGGCGAGUUCGUCGGCCGCCUCGUUGUAGCGUCGAGCGAUGUGGACGAGCUCGAGGCCGUGGAACUUGUCCUCGAGUCGUCGGACCUCCUUGCAGUACGCCUCCAUUUUUGGGUCGUGGCAGCUCGAGGUCUUCAUCACUUGGUCGAUGACGAGCUGGGAGUCGCCCCGAACGUCGAGGCGUCGGACUCCCAGCUCGAUGGCGAUCUUUAGACCAUUGACGAGGGCCUCGUAUUCUACAACAUUUUUGGAUGCAGCAAAAUGUAUCCUGAUGAUGUACCUCAUAUGAACGCCCAGGGGCGAGACGAAUAGCAGACCCGCCCCAGCUCCUGUCUUCAUGAGAGACCCAUCAAAGUACAUCGUCCACAGCUCUGCCUGAACCUGAGCUGGGGGGAGCUGGGAGUCUGUCCAUUCUGUGAUGAAAUCCACCAAGGCCUGUGAUUUGAUAGCUUUGCGGGGCGCGUAAGUGAGAGUCUCACUCAUGAGCUCGACCGACCACUUGGCAAUUCUCCCCGUGGCCUCCCGACUUUGGAUGAUCUCGCCCAAGGGGAAAGACGAGACCACCGUGAUAGGGUGGCCGAGGAAGUAGUGCUGCAGCUUGCCUCGGGCGAGGAUUACGGCGUAGAUUGGCUUCUAGAUCUGUGGGUAACAUGCCUUGGUCUCUAAGAGUACUUCGCUGACGAAAUAGACCAGCCUCUGGACUGGCAGCGCAUGUCCCUCCUCCUGCCUCUCGACCACUACUGCUGCACUGACGACUUGGGUCGUUGAUGCAACGUAUAGAAGCAGAGGUUCUGCAGGUUGAGGCGGGACUAGCACUGGUGCAGAGGUUAGAGUUUUCUUCAAGUUAUCGAGCGCUUCCUCGGCCUCUGGAGUCCAAGAGAAGCGCUCGACUUUCUUCAGAAGUCGAUACAGUGGCAACGCCUUUUCUCCCAGCCUAGAGAUAAAACGACUCAGCGCCGCUAGGCAUCCCGUGACUCUCUGCACGCCCUUGACAUCUCGGAUUGGCCCCAUUCUUGUGAUGGCCAAGACUUUCUCGGUGUUGGCCUCGAUGCCGUGCUGGGAAAUGAUGUAACCCAGGAGCAUGCCUCGAGGCACGCCGAAAACGCACUUCUCGGGGUUGAGCUUGAUCUGGUUGGCACGUAAGCAGCUAAAAGCGAUCUCGAGGUCCUGGAUCAGGUCUCCUUGCCGCUUUGAUUUGACGACGAUGUCGUCGACAUAGGCCUCGACCGUCGACCCUAUGUGCUUGCCAAACACGUGGAGCAUGCAGCGCUGAUAUGUGGCUCCCGCGUUUUGAAGUCUGAAUGGCAUGGUUACAUAACAAUACAUCCCAAAAGGCAUAAUGAAAGAUGUCGCGAGCUGGUCGGACUCUUUCAUUUUUAAUUGGUGAUAACCAGAAUAUGCAUCAAGGAAAGAAAGGGUUUCACAUCCCACGGUAGAAUCAACAAUUUGAUUAAUAUGUGGUAAUGGAAAGGGAACUUUCGGACAUGCUUUAUUUAAACUGGUAUAAUCAACACACAUCCUCAUUUUCCCAUUCUUUUUCUUAACUAGUACAGGAUUUGCUAACCAGUCGGGAUGGUGAACCUCCUUGAUGAAUCCGGCCGUCAAAAGCUUUUGGAUCUCCUCGCCAAUGAUCUUGCGCUUUUCCUCGUCGAAUCGGCGCAACCGUUGCUUCACUGGCUUGGAACCGGCUUGAAUUUCCAAGGAGUGCUCGACGACUUCCCUCGGUAUGCCAGGCAUGUCCGAGGGACUCCAUGCAAACAUAUCGGCGUUUGCACGGAGAAAGUCGAUGAGCACAGCUUCCUAUUUGGGGUCGAGGUCGGCGCUGAUCGUCAACGCCUUGCCGUCGGAGUUGUUGGGGUCGAGCGGGAUCUUCUUGGUUCCUUCCACCGGCUCGAAGCUGCCUGCGUGGCGCUUGGGCUCUGGGGCCUCAGCGGCCAGGGCCUCGAGCUUUGAAACGAGCUUGGUGGAACUCUUGAGCGCCUCUCCAUACUCGACACAUUUGACGUCGCACUCGUACGCGUGCUCAUAGGAGGAUCUGACGGUGAUGACGCCCUUUGGCCCUGGCAUCUUCAGCUUCAGGUACGUGUAGUUAGGAAUUACCAUGAAUUUGGCGUAGCCUGGGCAUCCAAUGAUGGCAUGGUAUGUGCCCCGGAACCCCACCACCUCAAAGGUGAGGGUCUCCUUUCUAAAAUUGGAGGCCGUGCCAAAGCAGACCGGUAGGUCGAUUCGACCUACCGGUAAUGCCUUCUUCCCUGGUACGACGCCGUGGAAUCCACCGGCGCUCGGCUAGAGCUGCGUCUUGUUGAUGCCGAGGAGGUCGAGGGUCUCGAGGUAGAUGAUGUUGAGGCUGCUGCCGCCGUCCAUCAAUACCUUGGAGAGCCGGGCGUUGACGAUGAUGGGGUCGACGACGAGCGGGUAGACACCAGGGGCGACUACUCUGUCGGGGUGGUCGUCUCGAUCGAAGGUGAUGGGGGUGCUCGACUAGUUGAGGUACUGGGGCACCGCCAUCCUUGCCGCAAAAACCUCACGGCGUUCUCUCUUGCGUUGCCUUGCGGUCAACUGCGUCGAGGGUCCGCCAUAGAUCAUGUAGCAGUCAUGGACGGUAGGGAAGUCGUCGUCGUCUUUGUCGUCCCCUUUGUCGCUGCCCUUCUCUUUCUUUUGGUCAUCACGGGUGUCCUUCCUGAACCCCAGGCCGUCGAAAUGCUUUUUCAGCAUGCGACAGUCCUCGAGCUUGUGGUUGGCCCCUCCCUUAUGAUAAGGGCACGGCUCCUUCAGCAUCUUGUCGAAGAUGCCCACCUCUGGAGGGCCUCGAGGCUUUUUGCGCUCCAUGGCGGCGACGAGAUCGUCGUCGAGAUCUUCCCGCUGGAACGGUCACGUCUUCUUCUUCUUCUUCUUGUUCUUCUUGGGCCCUCGACUGGGGCCCUCGUCGUCAUCGGCGAGCUGCUUAUCUUUCCUUCCUUCACAGCUGAAGAAGGCCCCGACCGCUUCUUCCCCUGCGGUGUAGUUUGCCACCACGUCCAUCAACUCGUCGACGGUUUGAGGGCGAUUCCGGCCCAACUCCCACACCAAGUCUCGACUUGUGGUACCAGAGACGAAGGCUAGGAUGACGUCGUGAUUGGGGAUGUGUGGCAGCUCGGUGCGCUACUUCAAGAAGCGUCGAGCGUACUCUCGGAGGGUUUCUCCUGACCUCUACUUGCAUUUGCUGAGGUCCCACGAGUUGCCCGGUCUAAUGUAGGUUCCUUUGAAGUUGCCCUCAAAAACCCUAACCAAGUCAACCCAGUCGUGGAUCUGAUCGGCUGGAAGCUCCUCGAGCCACCUACGGGCAGUGUCGGAGAGGAAGAGCGGCAGCUGUCUGAUGAUGGCUCGAUCAUCUCCUCGAGCGCCUCCCAGCUCACAUGCCAGCCUAAAGUCUCCCAACCACAGCUCUGGUUUGGUUUCGCCGUUGUACUUUGCGAUGCUGGUCGGGGGUCGAAACGGACUGGGCAACGGCGUGCUGCGGAUUGCCCUGCUGAACACUCGUGGGCCUGGCGGCUCUGGGGCCAUCCGGUCCUCAUCACUGUCGUACUUUCCGCCACGGUGAGCGCUGUAACCACGCUCUUCCGUGUCCCCGUGCCGACGGCGACGAUUCUCCUCGAUGUCGCGUCGUGCGUCGUGUCGACGUUGGUUGUCGACGGGGAGGACGAGUGUGGUCUUUUUCCCUCGAGGGGGUGGCUGCUGAUGGACCGAUACCUCCUUUUCAUUUUGGGCUGGCUCAUCGCGCUUUUCAGUGGCCGCUCCUCGAUGUCAAGAAGCCGAGCUUUCGGCUUGCUGAACUGCCGCCACCUGGAGCAGAGUCUGCACCUCGUCUCGAAUGCGCCGUGCUUGGGAGUUCGACGGCUCUGGCAUGUUCCGCAGCAGCAUUGUUGCCGCCACAACAUUCUGGCCUGCUUGAGGGAAACAGCUGACGGGCUGCUCAGGCUCUGCGUCUCUAACAAUCUGUCGGUGCACCUCUCGAGCCCUUCUGCGGACACUUCCGCCAGGCGGGUAAGGUAAGUCCUGCUCAAGGAUCUGUUCGAGUAGAACAAGGCGCUCGCGAUCCUUGUCAAGCUUGGUCUUGAGUUCUCGCAGCUGCGCAAGUUGCGUGGCUCUGUCUUCUUGCGGUGGUGGGUCGACCUGUCUGUCGUUCCCAGGCGUCCUGGGGUCUUCCCUUGCUGCAGGGGCUCGACCGCCAGCGGCAGCAUCCUGCGUCUCGUCGGUAGUUUCUACCGCCCCGUCGAUGUGACAGCAUUCCCUGGUAGGGUCGUAGCUAUCGGUCUCGGAGUCGGAGUCCAGCUCGGCGGCGUAGAAACAUCUACGUCCCUCCUCCAGCAGCCGCCGCCUGAGCGAGGUGAUCGUGUAUCGCCUAGGGCCUAGGUGACGGAGGCCUCGUACCUGGGAGAAAUCCGGUAGCUCGGACGUUGGUUGCUGCGCUCCAGGGUCGCGUGGGAGGACCAUUGGUCUCUCCACGUACGUCUGGGCGUUUGGGCAUAUCGCCCUGGCGAGCGACGCCGCGGCAUUGUCCAAACCGAACGGCAGUGCUCCUCUUGGGGCGAACAGCCUGUGUGGAAGUAGCCUGGUGGUGGGGGAGAGCGCACGGGGCGUGUCACUUCUUGUCAUCGUGCGAUCCUCGUGGCGUUGAGCCGUCACGCCCAUGGAUUCGGCGCGCGGGGCUGUCGGCUCCUGUGCCGUCUCCGGCCUAGCACAAACUGUCGGUCGUAGCGAGGUGGAUAGGCGAUGGUGGCGCUAUCCACGCCUCUUCUUGGGCGGAGAGGCAUGGUGGCGAGGGCGCCUCGGGGCCCUCAACCGUGGUGGCGCAAUGCGGGCUCCUCCCGGUCCUUUGAUCGAGAGCAAGAUCAUGUCAUAGCCGGAGCCAGUAGACAUGAACCUGAGACUCCCAAACCAAAUCACCGUGGAGCAUGGAAUCGGUGAAGAAAGGGUGGCCAUCAGGAGAAGAAUGGGAAAUCGAUGAAAAACACGCAGGACCCCUACCUGGCGCGCCAACUGUCGGUGUUUUCCCCACCAAUGAGUGAAUUUGUAUGUGUGCUCCCUUUCCCAGAUGGUGAUGCAAAAAGACACAAGAAUUUAUCCUGGUUUGGGCAAGAGAAGGCCCUACAUCUAGCGGGGGGAGAGUUUGUAUUAUUUUGCACCUAAGUGCUUGUACAGGGGUGAAUACAAGCGUGGUAUGGAAUGAAGUGGAGUAUGGAAGUACUACUGCAUGUAGGUGUAGUGUUACGUGAUGUCUUCCUUUGUGUUCGCUCUCGGGCUCCCCCUUUUAUAGUUCCAAGGAGAAGCCCAGGGAACAAGUAUAGGCGUCAGAGUAGGGGUCGAUAGAGGUAUGGCGCGCGGACCUACUCGAGGCCUCCGUACCGGCAUGGUCUCGAGCCGUCCCGUCCUGGUAGCUUGAUGAUGAUCACGCGUGCCCUUGUAUCCCGUUCUGUGCGCCGUCUUGGAUUGGUUUAUCUGCUGCACACCUGUACGUCAUGGCGGCUGAUAUGUCAGAAUGGUUGCAGUGUUGUCAGUCGACGCCCACCCCUUCCCCAGGAAGGAAAUAUGCCUGGUCGAGGGUCGGGCGCCGUGUAGCGCCUUGUUGCCCAGAGCGUUGACCUUGGGUGUCUCGAGGGGGUCCUGAUUAGACGUUCCAUCCCUGCUUCCCGCGUCCUGACACGCUCUGGGUUGUUUGGUGGGGAAGGCUGCAAAAAGAAUGACGGGACGGGUGCCUGUUCCCUAUCACGCUUCCCGCGACUAGCGUGUUAGGUGAGAACGCGACAGGCGCAUUAAAUGCCCUGGUUCCCGUGCACGCGUUAGGCGGCGGGCGGCGUCCUUGCGCUCGACGCCUCUUGAUUCGCUCGAGCCUGUUUCCAUAUUCGACGGUAGUUGGCGCUCGAGCCCUGAUCGGUUCGCUCGACGCCUUUUCCGUCUUCGAGGCUGCAGUUGUCGAUGACUGUACGUAUGACUGACUAGAGCGUCGAGUUGAGGGCCUCGACCUGCGUACGGGUAAUCUUAUUAUGUGCAUCAGUUAGGAUACCCCUUACUGAUACCCUCGACAAUUAAUCUUGAGGCAUUUAUUACAAAUGACUAGUAGCAAACUGAUGAUAAUAGUAAAUUUAAACCGAAUUUAAAGAUAAAUAACUAAGAUGCAUUGCCUCAAGAUCUAAUCUAGAUAACUUAGUGGCGCUCUAACUCCCUAAUCUUCUUAUUGGCACUAGCAAGAUCAUGCCUAAGACCUAGUAUCACCAUGUUGUGGUUAGAGAGCUGCCUAAUGAUAGAGUUAACUGAGGACUGGAGGUCUAUGAUGACCCUAUCUAGCCUGCGAAUGUCCUCAUCAAUAUCUACUAUACUCUUGCGACGCUUAGGAGGUGUCUCGAGAGCAUUGAGAGCGUGCUUCGGGGCUGCCUUUGGAGGGAUGAAAUGGACUUUGGCUGCUCUAAUCCCCUCAAAGUAAGGCCUCUCUUCCUCCGUAGUGUAGCGGAUGCUGCUGAUCUCGCCGCUCCGGUUGGUCUUGACUCCGACGACCCUCUCAUUGGGUCUAGGUGGAAGGAUCUUCGUGCCGGUUGGCACCUUGAUGGUGGCCUCCUUCUUGGCUGAUGGUCCCUUGAGAAGUAGGGGUUGUGGCGGUGCGGUGAGAACUGGUUGAGCAUGGUAGGAUUGGGUGGAGCUACGCUGGCGUAAUGGCAUGGCUUCUAGCUGUCGCUCUGUGUUGGCCGGGACGAGAGCAUGGGCGUCGGGGUCUUCCAUAGGCUUCUUGUUUAGGUCAUAGGGAAUGACUUCCCAAUCAUCGUGGAACUCUUCGGCCAUUGGAGCAGCGAGGAACUAAGUAAGCUCUAAUUGAAGAAUAAGAGAAGGCUUGAAUAGAUUGGUGUUUGAAAACUCACGUCAGGGGUCUGUUUAUAUAGGGGUCAAAAAGUGCCUCUAGGGGUUGUUCGGGUUACUCCCGUCGUCGUGCGUGCGAAACUUUCCAUCUGUAGGAUUAUUUGGUUUACCAUAAAUGUGUUUUCCGCGACGGAGGAAAUCGGGACCGAGAGGGGAUAGGGGCUGGGCGCCCGCCCUGUUCAUCAGGGUGCCCGCCCUAUGCCUGGCCCCUCUGUGGGCCCGCUUCCUCGAGCGUGCUUCUAGAUGCAAAACUUAUUAGGAAAAUAUAUACAUGACCCUAAAAUGUCAGAUUAAAAAGGUCGGGCUCUAAAUCUCCAUGAGAAGGUAAAAAUGGAUUACAUCUAUUUCUUCUAAUUCUUUAUUGGGCUCUAAAAAUAAUUUAAGACGUUGACCAUUUACAUUGAAUAACGUACCUUCGUCAUUUUGAAGAGUGAUAGCUCCGUAGGAUGAUGAAUUGAUUACCUUGAAUGGUCUUUCCCAUUUACUCCGGAGUUUUCCAUGCCCGAAAAGCUUCACCCUGGAAUUAAAAAGUAAUACCUUAUCUCCGGGUGCGAACUCCUUCUUGAUCCUCUUGUCAUGCCACCUUUUGACUCUUUCUUUGUAGAUCUUCGAAUUGGGAUAUGCUUUCUCUCGCCAUUCUUCUAAUUCUGAUAGUUGCAUUCUUCUAUGGUCUCCAGUGACAUCUAGGUCCAUAUUCCAUCUCCUUAUGGCCCAGUGUGUUUUGAAUUCUAGUUCAACAGGUAGGUGGCAAGAGUCUUCCCGUACACCAAUUGGUAUGGGGACAUUCCAAUUGGGGUCUUGUAUGUUGUCCGGUAUGCCCAGAGUGCAUCGGGUAGCUUGUCUUUCCAUGUUGUUCCCAUUUCAUUCACUUUCUUCUAAAGAAUAUUCUUGAUUUGCUUGUUGGAAGUCUCUGCUUGGCCACUUGUCUGAGGAUGGUAGGGGGUAGCGAUGUUGUGACGGAUUCCAUGUUUUGAUAGAUAUUGCUUGAAGCGUUUGUCGAUGAAUUGUGCUCCUCCAUCACUUAUCACUACUCUGGGAACUCCAAAUCUUGGAAAUAUAAUUUCUUCAAACAUCCUCUUUGAACUGAUGUUGUCGGCAUACUUGCAAGGUAGUGCCUCUACCCACUUGGAGACGUAGUCAACUGCCACCAAGAUGAACUCACACUUCUUUGAUGGGGAAAAUGGACCCAUGUAAUCUAUUCCCCAUACAUCAAAGAGCUCAAUCUGAAGGUUGUUGGUGAAUGGCAUGGCAUCCCUCGUGUUUAUGUUUCUGUGCCUUUGACAUGGCCCACAUCUUCUCAUAUAUUGCUUAGUGUCUUCAUACAUUGUAGGCCAGUAGAAUCCACACUGCCAGAUCUUUGAAUGUGUACGAAAUGCUCCAUAAUGACCUCCAUAUGGUGAUGAAUGACAUCUGUCGAUGAUCUUCCAUCCUUCCUCGGUGGUCACACAUCUCCUGAGUAAGCCAUCAGAGCAUACUCGGAAGAGGUAUGGCUCAUUCCAUAUAUGUGAACGACUUUCUUGAAUAAGCUUCUUCUUGUUUGCUCCUGGUGGUACAUACCCUGAAACCAUAAAAAUAACAAUAUCUCCAUACCAGGGGUCAAACCUGUUAAUCCCGUAGAGCAUGUUGUCCCGGAGUGAAUCAUUGAUGGGGGUUUCCUAUGGAUUCUUAAAAUAUAUUCUAGACAAGUGAUCAGCAACAGAAUUCUCUACUGCCUUUUUAUCUUUUAUUUCUAAGUCAAAUUCUUGAAGUAAUAAGAUCCAUCUAAUCAGGUGAGGUUUAGCAUCUUUUUUAGUGAGCAGAUAUUUUAAUGCAGCAUGAUCAGUGUAAACAAUUAUUUUAGCUCCAACUAAAUAAGAUCUAAAUUUAUCAAUGGCAAAGACAACAGCCAGAAGCUCUUUUUCAGUGGUUGCAUAAUUAAGUUGAGCUCCUGCCAAAGUUUUACUGGCAUAAGCAAUUGCAUGAUGCUUCUUAUUUUUAGUUUGUCCCAAAACUGCCCCCACAGCAUAAUCACUAGCAUCACACAUAAUUUCAAAAGGCAACGACCAAUCAGGGGGUUGAAUGAUUGGUGCAAAGAUGAAUGCAUUCUUUAAUAAAUUGAAAGAUGUUAGGCAUGCAUCAUCAAAUUUGAAAGGAGCAUCCUUGGCUAGCAAGAGAGUAAGUGGUCUAGCAAUAAAUGAAAAAUCUUUUAUGAAUCUGCGAUAAAAACCAACAUGGCCAAGAAAGCUUCGAAUUCUCUGUUCAAUUACUUCAAUUUUAGCUUUGUCUACCUCAAUACCUCUCUCAGACACUAGGUGUCCCAGCACUAUUCCUUCCCUAACCAUAAAAUGACAUUUUUCCCAAUUAAGGACUAAGUACUUUUCUUCACAUCUUUGCAAAACCUUGUCUAAGUUUUCAAGCCAACUAUCAAAAGUUUUUCCAUAAACAGAGAAAUCAUCCAUGAAAACUUCCAUAAUCUCUUCAAUCAUAUCAGAAAAUAUAGACAUCAUGCAUCUUUGAAAAUAAGCUGGUGCAUUACAUAACCCAAAAGACAUUCUACGGUACGCAUAAGUUCCAUAUGGGCAUGUAAAAGUGGUUUUGCUUUGAUCAUCGGGAUGGAUCGGGAUCUGGUGAUACCCUAAAUAUCCAUCCAAGAAACAGAAGAACGAAUGGUUCGCUAAUCGCUCUAGCAUCUCAUCUAUGAAAGGUAAAGGAAAAUGAUCCUUUCUCGUGGCUUUGUUUAGUUUUCUAUAGUCUUGUUGACACCGUUUUUGGCCACGUAUCUUUGGAUACGCACCUGGAGUUAAUGAAGUGUAGAUCGGCAGAUGGGCAAUGGUGACUAGUCUACAGGGGAGUUGCCGAUGAAGGUUGGUGCCGAUGGGAGAACAACCGGAUAUGACCAAGUCCAGAAGUGGUGAUGUGUUUGUGCCAAUGACCAGUGCCGGUGUUUGUCGAUGGCUGUAACAGGCAGUCUGCCGAUGAUUCUGAAGAAAAGCGCGGAGGUUGACGAUUGACUCGUGGCAAGUGUACCGAUCGGUUACGGAGGAUAGUUUAAUGUUUUCCUUAGUUAUUAGGAUUCGUUUUGUAUACGGAUUCUGUUGAAUUUGGAAUUCGAGUUCUAGUCGUGUUUAGUUGUAGUUCUUUUGAGCAGGUAUAAAUAUAGACCCCGUGGCAAUGUAAUGAGACAUCUAUCAAUCAAUCAAACACAAGUUUUUACACAUAUUCCAGCAUCUACUUUUUCGGCGACUUCGUCAUAUUUUCUUUUUACUACGAGUUCUUAGGAAUUUGUCGAGUCAAACUCGGCGUGUUCUCAAGUUCUGCGUGAGCACCUCUUGGCCGUGACAUCCAGGCGCAUCGCUGUUGUCGGGACCAAAGUGUUCGAGUUACCACCUUUGUCGAUUGUAAGGUCAAAUCGGCUGGCACGCCUUAACGUUUAGAUCGGGUAUUAGCCCUUUGUGUUUGCAGAUCAGCUUUUGCAUCAACAAGUCUAUGCACAUCCUCCAUCCUGUGACGGUGCGUUGCGGAAUUAGCUCGUUCUUUUCAUUCAUAAUGACAGUCAUGCCAACCUUUUUAGGCACAACUUGAACUGGGCUUACCCACUCACUGUGCGGCACAGGAUAUAUAAUCCCUGCAUGCAGUAACUUUAUAACUUCCUUUUUAACUACCUCUCUCAUCGCGUUGUUAAGUCUACGUUGGGGCUCUCGAGAAGGUGAAACAAAAGGAUCUGUUGGAAUACGAUGGGUACAAAUCAUAGGACUGAUUCCUGUAAGAUCUUGGAGUGAGUAGCCGAAAACUGAGUGAUGUUUCUCAAGAAUGGUCAUUAAUUGCAGAGUUUGCUCCUGAGUGAGUUUAUCACUAAUGAUCACAGGAAAUUCUGGAUUAUUGUUUAGGAAAGCAUAGAUAAGACCAGGUGGUAAAGUUUUAAGCUCUAUGGGAGGUCUAGGCGUUUCUGUAAACUCAUCUAAGGGUUCAGGUUCUGAAGGUUCGGCCUCUUCUUCUAUGAAGAAAGGAACUUUGUCUUCUAAGUCUGGUUCUUCUAAAAGCUCUAGAGAUGCAGCCUUUACCUCCUCCAUAGGAUCAGGCAAAAGAUAUGACUCGGCCUUAUUAUUUAAGGAGUGUGAAAUUUUUAUUGGAAAUUUAAAAGUUUUUCCAAAAGAAAUGUGUAGCUUUCUAGUAUGACCUUCAUAAAGGAGUCUUCUAAAAGGUUGUCCAACAGGUCGAAGUCCCAUGUAUCAAAGAUAUAGAAGUUCAAAUGAACCAUGGAUCCUUCUACCAUAAGGGGUAGGACAUUAAUAAUUCCAAGACUGGGGACUAAUCGUCCCGAAUAUUCCUUUAUGACCUUUGUUGUGGGGGUUAAGGCCAAAUUUUUAAAUAAUUUAAGUGCAAAAGAUUCAGAUAUGAUGUUGAUCCCCACAAUAGGAUUAUAGAGAGCAUCAAAUUGAUCAGAAUCAUAAGCACAGCGUAUAGUUAUAGGAGGUGUGUCCAAACGGAUCACGUCAGAGGAAAGCUCUGACUCCUCCAACCAUUCGCUACUCAUGACUAAGAUAAGCUCUCUCAAUUGAUAUUCAGUUGGUAAACAAAUGCUAAAAUGGUCGUUUUGGGGUCUGUUAAUAGAAUGGUAGUUUGAAAUGUUUCCAAAAUCGGCAAAAAGAUCGGGUUCUAUAUCCAGCAUGAAAUCAGGUGGUGGAAUUUCUUCCUUUUGUGGCUCAGAACUUGGGAUAGCUAAAGUAGAUGGAGAAUUUGGUAGAGUAUCUACUUCGGCUUUGUGGGUUUCAUCAUGAAGGGUAUUAUCCAUCUCAGCUUCUAGGAUUCUAUCUAGGAUCACUCUAGCAUCAUCAGUAGGGAUGCGAAAGAAAGAACCUCUAGACAUUGUAUGUAGCAUUUGUUUAUGAUCUUUCUGAAGACCUCGAAAAAAGUGAAAUAAAAGAAUAGGGUCUUCAAGAUUAAGGUUUGUACCAGAUUAUAAAAGAUCAGAAAAACGUUUCCAGGAUUUUCCCAAAGUUUCAUUAUCUUUUUGUUUAAAAGAUAGGACUUCGAGUCUAAGGUCGCCGAUAUGGUCGAGGGAAUAAAAAUCUAGACAAAAGUUGUCUCGUAAAACUCCCCAUUCAUCUCGUUGUUGACUUACCUUCUAACUGUACCAUUAUCUAGCUUCUCCCCUUAAAGAAAAAGGAAAAAGCUUCCAACUUAAAGUUUUAUCAGAAAUGCCUUCAAUGCGAAGACAAUCACAUGUUUGCUCAAAAUCUCUAAUAUGAAGGUAAGUGUUUUCGUCUUCCUUUCCUGAAAAAGAUAGGUUUUGAAUCAUGGCAAUCAACCUAGAACUUAACCUAUACUGGGAUGUUUGGAUAGGCUGUGAUGACUCCCAUGGUAAAAGGUCAGUUUCCGAAGGUGUUGCAAAUUGAUAGAUCGAUUUAGAAUCUUGGUUUUCCAUAAGGUAAGAAUAAAGAAAAUAAAUAAAGAAUAUAAAAGAUAAGACAAGAUAAAAGUAUAGAUACAAGCUAAUAGUAAGACUUAAGGUUAUCUCAGCAAACCGUCUUUCUCCCCGGCAACGGCGCCAGAAAUGCUUAUUGAUAUUUGGGAACGCAAUAAGGAAUUGAUCCGCAAGCGCAUAGAUAUCGGUGAGCACUUCACCUGGGAUGUUAUCCAGAGUAUCGUAUUUAUAUUUUUACCACUAGGAGAAAGAGUGCAUCUGACUAACCCAGUCUAUUACUACUAACCAUUAGGCUACAAAGAAUGUUUCUCGAUGUGAGUGAUAUAUAGAGAAGACUACAACUGUAAUCUCUUUCUAACUUUGGUAAGGAUAAUCUACUGUUCUAUUAGGGAGGCUCACGGAAUCUAGACACCACAGAGGAUGUUCAACCCGCGCCUAUAAAUCCUAUCCUUCCUGCUAACGAGAUAUGGUCUGCAAAGGUAACUCGGAAAUGUCAUGUUCCUCGCUACUACCACGGUCCAGCUAGUCAGGGAAUAUCUAUGAGUAUCCUAGCCCAAACACCACGUCUAUGCUAGAGAUGAUUACUCUAAACUCUACCCGAAGAGAUUAAAGUAAACUCAUAAACCAAAGAAUAAUAAAACAAGAACUUACUAGUAUUUAGAAGUCAAAAUACUAAAGAAUCCUAGGAGCAAGCUUCGGUUUAGGAGAACUUGAUCCCGCAGGUACAACCUCAGAGUAGACACCGAUCUACACCUCCACUCUAUCUCUCUCAAUCUAGUAGAACUUAGAAGAACUAAUUCUACUCCAAUUGGAUGCUAAGCCCUAAGUCUAUUUAGAGGAGAGGUUAUCCUUCGAGGGCUCCUCUCAACUCUAUGAUGAACUUGUUCUCCAGGGGCCAGGGGGUCUGCUUAUAUAGUCCCCUCAGGUGAACAUGGGCAAUUGGAUCAAACCGACAUUGAUUGAACAGUUAUCCUUGAUCCUUUAGGUCAGUGGAGUGUGAUCCGCGAAGUUGGAUGGGAUUGGUUACAACUCCAGGGUGGGCGCCCUAGGGGGGAGGGCGGGCGCCCUGCCCCGGGCCCGAUCGCCUUCCCGUUCAUUCCCGUGGCUUCUUGUGUCUUCUAGAUGGUAGAAAAUUGCACGGUGCGUUAAUAUCUCUAUGUAAUCCCGAUAUGUGGGCCUUUCUUCCUUAUUUCCUAAUAACUCCCUGCAGAAACAGAUAAGCAACAAAACUCGUGGAAUUCUGUCAGAUCAAACCCUAAUUCUAGGUGUUGUUUGCAUAUUGGUCCUUUCUCUUAUUUAUUUGAUAAUUAAAAUUGAUACUUAAGAACCGUCAACAACUAUUCAAAAGAUGCUCACAUACAAAUGGCUCAAACAUCCAGAAAACAAUAUUUCAUGGAGAUGUAAAAUGAAUAUUUUCUAGGUAUGUAUUCCCACUAAGAAACUGUUUUUUUAGCUUGUCUGGGCAUCUCUGUGCAUUGUGAUCAUAUGAUUUUGCAAAUGUUGCACUUAUUCUUCCUCUUUUUUGUGCAUUGUGAUACCUUUUUUGUGUGCCUUCUCCUUCAUGCACCCUUUGGCUUUUGAUUUUGGGGGGUUCACUACACUUCAUGUAUUUGGACCAGCAAUUGCACCUACAAUGUGAAAUACAAUAAGCAACUAAUAAAUCUAGUAUAGGUGUACUAGGAUGAAGUAAAGCAGAACAUAGUGUCUAGUUUUUAAACCUGUAGUUCGCAAUGAAGGUCCAGUUAGAGUAGAGACACCUGUACCAUUUUGUGCACCUUCUGUAGCACCACCUUCCGUACCACCAGUGUUUUGCCUAUUUGCCAUCGUCCUUUUCUUAAUUGCUUCAAAUUCAGAUCACAUCUCCUUAAUGUGCUUCUCCAAAAUAGCAUAGUUUUCAUCAUUUGUACAACCCUCCACUGCUAUUGCUGCAAACACGGUGGAUGCGUUGGUCAAUCUCAAAGUUUUCUCACUGGUCAAUGGCAUCCCACGGGCUACAAGUUCCACUGCUGCAUUCACAUUUUGGACCUGAUUAGUGUCACUAGCAAUUGCUUGUUGCGUCCACCUUUUAAGGAUGUACCUUUCUGGUAUCAAUUUUACACUCAUUCUGAUCAUAACUCUCAUAAUGUGGCAGCAAAUGAUUCCAUCCCUAUCGAACUUGCUACACUCACAGCAAUAGCUUUCAUCCUCUUCUAUUGUUGUAACAAGAUAGUUCCUUUUUCCAUACCCAUAAACAAAGCUAUUAUUGGGCUCCACCCAAUAUUGGAACUGCCCUAUAGGCUUCACAUCAUAUUCUGUAGUUUUCUCAAACUCUUUGGAGAACCUGUAAAACAUAUUCUUUGUGUAUAUAGUGGAAGCAUGCUUCUCAAGUGGAUGCCUUGACCAUCGUCUUCGCUCAUUCUCAUCGGUCCUAAAGUCUUGCCCAUCCUGUGCAACCAGACACUUUUCUUGUAUUUUCUGGUACUACCUCACAAACUGUAGCACGGACAAGUUUGGGUUCACAUACUUCUCAACAAAGCAUUGAACCGACCCUUCGCUCCUUUGAGUCGACUGGAGGAAUGGGAAGAAACUGUGCAUGUAGUAGGCUGGUAUGAAGCUCUGCCUUAUGUGGUAUAGGUGUUAAAAAUGCUCAUUGCCCUCCAAACUGUAUUUCUGGACCAUAGCAGCCCACUUUGACUCAAAAUCUUUUGGGCUAUAGUGUGGUUUAAGCAAUCCACAAACUCCUCAUUUAGCUCUUCAUUUUUAGCAAGGAUCGGUCCAAUUGUGCCUGAAAACUUGUCCAUGAUAUGCCACCUACAAUUCCUGUGGGUUGUGUUUGGAAACACAAUGCAAAUGGCAACUCUCAUCACAACAUCUUGAUCGGUGAUUAUGUUAAGGGGUGCUUUUCUAUCCAUUGCCUCUAGAAAUGUUAGAAACAACCAUUCAUAGGUAGCUGUCUUCUCAUUCCUUAUAAAGGCACAUCCUAGCUAAAAAAUUUGGCAGUGUCUGUUGAUUCCUAUGAAUGGUAUACGGCAUCUCAUAUAUGUUGGUCAUAUAGGUUGCAUCAAAUGAGACACAAUCGUUGUAUGCCUCUUUGUAAGCAUGCCUUGCAGCUGAAUCAACCCAAAAUAGGUUCUCAACCCUAUGGUUGUCAUCAAGCUUGAUCUUGUAGAAGAAUUCAGGGUCUUCUUCUUCCAAUGCUCUGAAGUAAUCCAAAGUUUCCUGUAUAUCUUUGAAUUUUUCUGUCUUGUGGAUGGUGGAGCGAAAGUUUGAAACUUGUUUGCCCUCGUAUGGCACCAGCUGUGCUGAGCCAUAGAACUCGCUCAUCAGCUGCAUGAUUCUACCGGUGCUCAAAUUGCAUCCAUGUAGCAAAACAAUGGAGUCCUUUUCUUGCUUCGGUAUCCCUCUAUGGGACCUUAGGAACUUCUUGAGUGAGGGCUGAACCACAAGAUUGUGGUUAUGCUCGGCCAAAAAAUAGAUGACUUGCCACCUAGAGCCAAUGAUUUUGACUACCAUCCUCGCCUUGCAGUUGUAUAUACCAUUUUCUCCCUCUUCCUUUUCUUACAUCCAUCAAGCUUCUUCCUCUUCUCUACUUGCUCAUCCUCUUCUUCUUGUGCAGUAUCCUCUUCUUCGACUUCAUCAUUGUUAGAGUAGCAAGUGAUUGCAUCAACAAGCUGAGCAGCAACUCUCCUUUUCCUGCCAAAGCCUUCUUUGUUGCACACAAACUGCACCUUUUGUUUUUCUCUUGUGAUUGCGGACUGACGUGACAUGUUUGUUCUAAUCGAGAAGCCAGUUCCCUUUGCAUACGAGUUGUAGUACUCCUUUGCUUCGUCCAAGGUUGCAAAAGACAUCCCAUUGUGUGGCAUUUCAGGUGUAGACCACACCUCUUCCUCCUCUUCUACUACUUCAGCAACUAUGGGAUUAGUAGUAGAAUCUUCAUUCCUGUCCUCUAUUCUUGCAUGUUCAAAUGACAAUCUGAUCUCACAAAUGGUAGGAAGAACCUCUUCUGAAACUGCAGGAUCUCUCUCUGCUAAUCCAGCUUGACCAUCUUUAGAAAUACUAGGCAAACUCUGCUGGUUCACAUGCUCAUCGUUAGGUUGAGGAACUUCAAGAUUUGUGGACACUUGAGUGCACAAGGUAGGGUUGCUGGUCAUAUAAUCAAAAUCAAAUGCAUCCAAGAAAUCUUCAUCCAAAUCUGGUGGUAGCUUGUUAAGAUCCAUAUUUUGAGAACUACAUGCAAAACAUUAACUAUAGGUGUGUGUUACUAUGUCAUGACAGUAGGCAACUUAGUCAAACCCGUUAGGCAAUAAUACUAUACAAAACUAGACAAAAUAAGCCAGCAACUUAUGCAGUUUUUGUUGAGUACAUGCCUUUUUAGUUGUAUUUCAAUACAUGCUAUUAGCUUUAUUCAGUGCAUGUUUUUAGCUUUGUAAUUUAUUCUGUACUCAGUUUUUUUCAACUUUAUGAAUCUCGUGUCAUUGUGUUCUCUCCCUUUUUAGAGAAAGUUUGUAAUUUGAGGCUUGCUUGUCCUCUACUCAGUUGAUUUAAAAUUUUUUCUCAGUUGUAGUUUUAUUUAAUUGCAGGUGUGAGGCUAUGUGCAGCAGCUGACACAAGAAAGUUUAAUGCAUAGGAGUAACCAUGUUCAAUAGCUAACACAAGAAGCUUUUAAUGCAGAAAGAUGUACAUCUGUAUGAGUGGUGCAUACAACAUAUAUCCAUGUUAUCUAACGGGUAGCAAGACAUACAGUGGUUAGUAUUAGAUCUGCUAAUGCAGUAGGAACUACAGUAUUAUGUGAUACAAGAGAACUGGAUUGCUUAUGCAAAAUAACUGAUUUGCUUAUUAUUGACGGUCCUUAAUGCUCACAUUUAACCGUCAACUAAUCAUGGAAAAGGACUUAUAUGCAACCAACACCUAGACUUAGGGUUUCUGGUAGAAUUCCACGAGUUUUGGUGUUUGUCUAUUUCUGCAGGGGUUAUCAGGAAAUAUGGAAGAAAGGCCCACACGUCGGGUUUACAUAGAGAUAUUAACGUGCCACACAAUUUUCUAUCAUCUAGAAGACUCCAGAAGCCACAGGACCGAAGCGGAGGCCGAGAGGGCUCAGGGACAGGGCGCCCGCCCUCCUAUUCUGCCCAAUCAGGGUACAACUCGGGGAUCAUGCUCCACCGACCUAAAGGAUCAAGGAAAACCGUGCGAUUAAUGUCGGUUUGAUCCAACGGCCCAGAUUCAUCUGAAAAGGCUAUAUAAGCAAGGCCCCCUGGCCCUUGGAGAGCAUACCUCUUCUACAGAAUCAAAGCUAGGGUUUCAAUUCUUGAUCCAAGUAGAGAGGAUCCCUCUAGUUCAUCUAGUUCUAGUUCUAGUUAGUUCUAGUUGUAAUCUAGAAAAUAGGGAGAGAGAAGAGGAGAGCGGAGGAGGAGCCGGAUCUGUCGGAUCUUCCUCAACAUUAUACUUUUGCAGCCACUGGUUCGUUCUUCAUCGUUCUCCAAUUUCUUCAAUUCAUAAUUCCUGAGUUCUUUAAUUACUUUUAUUUACAUUCAAGUUAUUUAUUGGAUUCCCACUUGCAUCAAGUGCUCUAGUCUUUAUAAUGCUAGAGUUGUAAUUAAUAAAUUAGACGUGGUGUUUAGUUUUGUAAUUACCUGGAAUUGCACCCAAUCCUGCGGAUUGUUGUGGUAGCCCUAGGGUAGUGACAGCCCUAACGGUCGACGUAUUCCACCUCGUUCGGAUCGGUGUUUGUAGGACCAUAGUCAGAGCUUCCUUGCCCCCUUCUCAUCUCUUUCUGUGGUUAGUGUUCUGAUGUCUCGAAAUAAAUAAUCUUUGAAGUAAUUCUUAAUUCUUAGAUCAACUACAGAACUCUCAGGAAACUUCCUCUCUUCCCACUAAAAAUAAUUAUAUAGUUAUCCUUGGGCAAUCUUGAAUCUUAAUUAGUACACUCACGUUCCCUGUGAAAAAUCGAUACUCUGGAAUACUCCCAGGUGAAAGCUACAUCGGUAUCCGUGCGCUUGCAGAUUUUUCUGUUUGCGUUUAAAAUACCCAACAAGCUUUCUGGCGCCAUUGCCGGGGAACGGUAGCUGUGCUAGUUUCGAACCAAGUCAUCCGUGUAUCCUUUUUCUUUUUCUUUUUUACCACAUUCACCUUACCAUUUUCACCACACCACAUGGAUUUCACUCCAAGCAUUAAUGAGCAUGGAAUUUAUUUCAUAGCCACUUCGUUUACGCCAUGCUCAUAUGCAACAUCUUCCCAAUCUACUGGUCUCUCCACCAUCACCACAUUCGAGAUCUCCAACCCCCUCUUCCUUUCUAUUUAUAAAAACUUUAAAAGGGCGGUUGUCGAUGCAUAUGUCUAUAAUAAAUAUUGUAGAUCUCAUUAAGUUGAUCUUGAUAUAGGUCAGCGUUAGAGGGGAAACCACUUCGCCGACAUAAAUUGAUGGUUUCCCAAGGACAAGCUGAGUGUCCUAAAAUAAGCACUAAUCAGAUCGUAACAUGAGCUUUUAAUUAUUUGCAACAUUACCUUGUCUAUUGAGCAUAUAAGGAUAAUUAUAAAAAAAUUCCUUCAGGUAUUAUUGUCACUAACCUUUCCAGGAUUGAAGCAAGAAGAUCGGAUGAAUGACAAGCACAAGGUAUGUCCAACCAAUCAUCAUACAACAUUGAAUUAAAUUCAUCCAAUCUUGAAUUUUGCAAAAUUCAAGCUUGGGGAGUACUUUACAUAAAAACAUCAUUUGCCAUGUUGCUAUGUUGGUUGUCCCUACCUUUGAGACAUGCUCAAUUUGUUAAAUACUAAUCACACUACUUCAUCUCCACUUGAGUAGAACUUUAUAAAUGCUCUCAUGCUACCUUUAUUUGCUUUAGUAUAUGUCUAGGUUUGGAGUAGUUUCAUAUAUCUCUUAAUUAAGCAUGGUGCUUAGUUUAGGAAUGAUGAUCUUACUUCCAAGGGAGCUUAAUUAAGCAUGAUGCUUAGGUUAAAAUGCCCUCCUAAAUCAAAUUAGACAUGGUGUCUAGGUUGAUUUUUGAGCCGAUAGUAUGCUAUAGUAGAUAUUGGAUAUUUUGUUGGACUAACCCCUGCAGGAAAACUUUCAAUAUCGACCUGGGAAGUCUUGAGAUAGACCCACAUUGGAGACAAAGAGAGAGACACAUGAAGUUUAACAAUUUACACAAGGAAGACAUAGCUCAUAAGAGAUGAUCCAUGGAGGGUGCCACAAACACGAUGCACAACCGCUAAGAAAGGAAAGCUUCCACAAGGUGAUAUUGUACCAUCACUCUUCAAGUAAGGUAACAUCUCAAGGUACUUGACUAUCACUUCUAUAAGCUUCUCCUUGGUUCUGGCAUUCACAUGAAUAAAAGAGACAAACAUGUAUGAUUUACAACUCUAGAUUAACCAACCCAAUCGAUUCAACAUGUUUAGUCCUUCCACCUUUGUGAUCCCACACUCCUAAUCAUAUGAACUAAAAUCUUGCACACGCAAUCUUUGGAAGAUAUAUAUAUAAAAAAUAAUAAGUAUAGAUAGAUUAUCUUUCCAUUAGGUUGAGUGAUCUGAUCUGACAAAUGUUUUAAAUGCUACACUCAUGAUCUUAUUAUCCAUCAAGUUUGUCUUGCUCACUAUGCUUAAGGUUAGAGAGAACAAAUAUACUUUUGGUUCUGUUGGUGUUUUCCACCAACAGGGCCCGUGCGCUUGAUCUCUGCCCUGUCUCUAUGAGCAGGUACACUUCGAGCAAAAUAUGAAGAGUUUUACAACUCCCAGACUCCACCAAGUGAAGAACCUGGAUCUACGAGCACAAACACACUGGAGAUACUAGACACUCAGGCAAUCACUGCCCUGAGAUGCUUGAGGACGUAAACUACAUCAGCAACAACUACUACUACUACUACAACCGUCCUCAACAAAAUCAAGGUUAGAAUCAACAGAGGCCUAACUACUCUGGUAAUUAUCAAGACAUGUUUGAUGCAGCCUGCAGAUGGGACACUAAGUUUCCCAAAGGGAAUAUUGAAGAACCUCUGCGUCCGUGUUGGUACCUUGUACGCUCUAGCAGACUUCAUGGUAAUAGAGACUGGUACUGAUGAGAGGGCACUCAUCAUCCAAGGGAGGCCAUUCCUGAACACCUUAGGAGCUGUCAUCUACGCUAGUGCUGCCAAGAUCAGUUUCUACAUCAAGGGGAGGAAGGAGACGUUUUCCUUCAAGAACAAGACUACACAAAUCUUAGAGCAAUCUCGACAUGAACCAAGGAAUAGGACCAACAGGAGGAACAGGAACAAGCAAAUAUGGACCGAGUCAGCUAAGAUGGUCACUGCAGUUCAAGGAGGCCAAGAUCAUCGAUUUAAGUCACCGUUCCUGACCAAAAAGGACGACCCAGCUCCAGAUGGCAGAUCAGACCGUUCCUCAGCACCGUUAAAGCAAUCAUCAACAUUGGAACCAGAGAAGUCCACAUGCACUUCCCCUCUGAGAAGGUACGUCGCUAUUUUACUGACCCUAACUAUAUAGUUGAAGACUCUAAGCAGGUCAGGACAAGAAGAAGACGACGCAACCACAACCAGACGAGACAAAUCAUCAAGGACGGAUGGGUAGACUACAAAGGAGAAGUGGUAAGGUCUGAAGACAUACAACUUGAACAGAACUGUCCUGAUGAGACCGUAGCACCGAGUCAGGUGUGUAGAGAGAAGAUAUACAUGAAGAGCAGGCGCCGCCGGAACCACCGACUACGCCAUCCAGCGAAUCCCAGAACGAGUGAGAAAAUGGAGAGUCCCGUUCGGAGGACUUAAAAACACUGAACGCCUAGCCAAGAGGUAAACUUGGUAGUUAUCCUUUCCCUUUCAAUUAUUUAAAAUAGUUUACUUAGUUAAACAUAUUAUACUAUCCUAAAAAGAAAAAAAAUAGAAAUGUUAAAAAUAGAAAGCCCCAUGUGAGUAUGCUCAUGGCAUAAAACCUAUAAGUAUGUGGUGGCAUAAAAAUAAAAUAAAUAUAUUAUUGUCCUAUAAAAAAUGAAAAUAUAAAAAUAAAUUUAUGAUCCUACCAAAGAGUAUAACAUUUAUUGAGGAGGCUCAACAUGAUAAAGGCUAGAUAUUUAUGCUAACACUUAACCAGUUCCACAAAACUUUGUUGUCUAUUUGAGCUCCACAGAAUUCAAGGAUCAAAGAAGACUAGCAGACGGAGGACAUCCUAAUCGCUGUCAGGGUGCUGCCAACAUUCAAAUACACCUCCGCCACGUGCUAUCUAUAUCAGAAGAAAUUACGUCAAAAUCCAGCUUGGGGGAGAGCACCCCCAUUUAUCCAACUAAGUGUUCUACUCACGUUUAUACUUUACUCUAAUAAUAAAAAGAUGCAUAAUCAUAGAAAACCCAAAUAAAGAUUUUGUGCUUAUAUAUCUUUGCUUAGAAUGCUAAAUAAAUAAAUAAAUAAAGUUUGCUAUAAGCCCUCAUGAUAAGCUCUCACAUGGAAAUGAUGAAUAGUUGCUCUGCAAUGACUAGUUCUCAAAAUUGAAAUCUCUCUCAAGUUUAGGCAUGACUGUUAUGAAUUAAGAUUUGCUCUAAACCUGAACUUGUGGGAAGAGUACUUAAUCUAACGUCUAAGUCGUUAACGGAUAUGAUAUGGGAAGGUUGAGCUACUGUUUAUCUGUUCCUAGAGAUGCUAGAAUUCUGGAGAAUUUUAUCUUUGAAAAUAUUUAAAAUAUCACAUGAUGAGUUCCUGUAUGAUGAGAGUUUAAAUUCCUACCACAGCCAUAUAUACAUGCUUGCUAGACUUUGAGCCACACAUUUACUUUUUACUGCUUAUGAGCAUUGAGUGUGGUCAAGCUGUGUAGACCCUUAGGAGCUUGUCAUGUGGUUAAAUCAAGAUUCACUUGCACGUUCACUCACACAUGCUGCUUCUACUCCGGAAGUAUGCAUCCACAUAUAUCCACUCAUUUCCAUCUCCAGAACCACCCAAAAAUAUUCUACUCCUGAUUCGGGAGAGAAUAGCAAAAAACAUUUUAGUUUUCCCCUGUGAAAUAAAUGCUCAAGUUAUCUUGGUUACUACCACUUGCUACAUUAUUUAAAGAGGUGAGUGCUCUAAAAAAGAAGAAGAUAUGAGGAAAUAAAAGGGGCAAGUGCUCGGAACCUCGAAAGAAAAAAAAAGUGAGACAAUAGGUAAAAAUAGACAAGUGUCCGACAGUAGAAUUAGGGCUGAGAGAAAAGAAAAAGAAAAUAUAGAGCAUUUCAUUCUCCUCAAAAAGUUUCAAAAGAGCAAGAAAGGUAUGUAUCCCCUCAAAGAGCAAAAGCAGAAUUAGACUUUCACUAUUAUUUUCACCAUUAUCACCAUUCAUUCGCCACACAUGCACAUCUUGAUUUGACUUAUUGACUUGUUCUUCUGGAUCUAUGGUUUGACUAUGCAAUAAAUAUUUUGUAAGUAUGUAUAUUUGUCUCCCACCUAUGAGCUCCAGGUAUCAAAACCUUAUUAGAGUAGGGUGAGAGAGAAGGCAAUGCCACUAUGCCUCAUACCAAAAAUACCACAUACUUUGAGAGAAGGCAUACACCAUUACUACUUUGGUAAAGAUCCAGAAAUACCACAAAAGAGAGACUAGAGAGAGUCAUAUAAUGAAUCUCUGAGUUUUAUUUGAAAAUCUACAAAAACUCCAGAGCUA